rnacentral:lncRNA from 1 species
UUUUUUUUUUUUAAGUUGACAAGAGAACACUUCCAUCAGACUUGGUUAGAAAAGUAGCAAAGCUUAAAUAGGUAGUUCAUUAUACUAGAAUAAUUUUUAGUUUGUUGUAAAGGUUAGAUCAACUAUUUUAGGGUGGCUAUAAGUUUGAUUUAUCAGGAAUCAAAUAGCAUUAUCUGGACAAAAAAUUGUUUUCUGUACAGAAAUUCCCAAAAAUUGUGAAUGAUGGAUGAAUUAUCAUCAUCAUUCAUAAAUGUGUCUCAAAUGAUUCUAGGAGUCCCGAUUAUUUGUAGUUUAUUAGCAUUAAAUACAGAUGCAUAUCUUGUUUUAAUUUUGGUAUAUCAUGGCUAUUGCAAAUGACGUUGGUGCUAUAAUUGUCUUUCUGAGCUCAUUACACAAUACGUAAUGUAGCCUCCUGUUGUAAAUACGUCCCAUCAUUUACUUAUUGCUGAAAUCAAUAUACUAGCUUCAACAAUAAUAAUAAUAAAAAGAUUCUAGGAGUCCCAACAUAGACAAUGUCUCAAUAUAAGUGAUAGUAGUUUAUUUUUCCUUAUCAUCUCUCCUUCUGGAAAAAAGCCAGAAAAAAAAAUACUUCUAAGGACUUGGUGCAGUUUUUUACACUUACGGAUUUCUUUGUUUGAUGAAGUUUUAGCAAUCAUCAUAUGCUGAUGUAAUGUAGCCUCCUGUUGUAAAUACUUCCCAGCAUUUACUUAUUCCUGAAAUCAAUAUACUAUCUUCAACAAUAAUAAUAAUAAAAAGAUUCUAGGAGUCCCAACAUAGACAAUGUCUCAGUAUAAGAAAGUGAUAGUAGUUUAUUUUUCCUUAUCAUCUCUCCUUCUGGAAAAAAGCCAGAAAAAAAAAAACUUCUAAGGACUUGGUGCAGUUUUUUACACUAAGGGAUAGAAUUCAGGGAUUUCUUUGUUUGAUGAAGUUUUAGCAAUCAUCAUAUGCUGACCAAAGGCAUUCAGACAAUUAUGUUACCGUCCCAAAGAAAAGAAAAAGAGAUUUUUGAUAAUUAUAAUUGGCGAUUGGCGAUCCUUUGAAUUCUUGUCAAUGGUUCUGUCUUUACAGGUGAUCGAACAGUUUCUUUUUGGUUUUCCUCCUCGAUGGGAGACGUUCAAUGAGAAAUUCUUAGGAAGAGAAUCUAAAGGUAAGGCUUCUGCAAGCGAUGCCCUUGGUUUUGAAAAACCAUCUGUGUGCUCAGAAAGUAAGUUCACUCUAUGAACCUAUUUGUAUGUCUGAAAGUUGCUAAGUUUUUGUUGUAGUCUGCUUAUACUUUCUCUGCAACCUGCAGAGGUUAAAAAUCUAAAGAAGUUAGUUCAAAAUGAUCAUGUAGAGACUACCGGUGAAACAAUUCAGGAUCAUAAUGGGAGAAAAGAUUAUGAAGUAGAAGACAAUUUGAUGAGGGACAAUCAGAAUGAUGGAGAAGUUGCAAGUGAAGUUAUUGUACAAAAGAAGACAAAAAGAGCAAUGAGGUCAUCGGACAAGCUUAAUUUUACAAACACUUCUACAAGCAUUGCAAAGGAGCAAACAAUACUGGAUCAUAAUGGGAUAAAAGACUAUGAAGUAGAAGACAAUUUGAUGAGGGACAUUCAGAAUGAUGGUGAAGUUGCAAGUGAAGUUAUUGUGCAAAAGAAGAAAAAAAGAGCAACGAGGUCAUCGGACAAGCUUAAUUCUACAAACACUUCUACAAGCAUUGCAAAGGAGCAAAGAAUACUGCAUCAUAAUGUGAUAAAAGACUAUGAAGUAGAAGACAAUUUGAUGAGGGACAAUCAGAAUGAUGGAGAAGUUGCAAGUGAAGUUAUUGUACAAAAGACGACAAAAAGAGCAACGAGGUCUACGGACAAGCUUAAUUCUACAAACACUUCUACAAGCAUUGCAAAGGAGCAAACAAUACCGGAUCAUAAUGGGAGAAAAGACUGUGAAGUAGAAGACAAUUUGAUGAGGGACAAUCAGAAUGAUGGAGAAGUUGCAAGUGAAGUUAUUGUACAAAAGAAGACAAAAAGAGCAAUGAGGUCACCGGACAUGCUUAAUUCUACAAACACUUCUACAAGCAUUGCAAAGGAGCAAACUGCAGAUGUUAAUCGAACAACUCACUUUAAAAGUUCAAGCACGGAAAAUGCAAAAAGAAAAUUGUCAUAUGUCAGUAGGCGCUCAUAGAAAAGUUAUCUUAAUUUUACAUUAUGUGUUCUUGUGACAUGAAAGUGCACUUCCCAUUUACAUGUUUAGCAGGUUCUAAAAUAAAUUAGUGUUUUAGAAGCAUGACAGAUGUUGAGCCUUUAUAACCCUCAUGAUUCUAGGUUUUUUUUUUUGAUAACCGUGGUAUCCGGGCCAGCUUGUGCGCACCUCGACUAAUUCCACGGGAUACCUGAGUGUAGCACGCACGCUCUAUGCUUUUCGCCAGCUUUCCCUCUAGUAAAAGAUUAGCUCGUACCCUCUCUCUGUGUCUAGGGAUUCCUGUCACACCAGCAACCAUGGUUCUAGGUAUUUCUCAAACUAUUAUUUCUUUUUAAAUUUGCAACAAGUUUUGUUAGUAUGAGAUUUCUAGGUAUGUUAAUAUGGAGCUGGUAUGAAGAUUUAAACACGAGAGGAAUGCUAUUAAAAACAGUGAUGGCAUCUGCUUGUGUGAACACAAUCCAAGCAAUUCCAUCUUCUUGUUUUCUGGGUGGGGGGUGGGUGGCUUAGUCCCAAAAGAGAUCCGAUACUUCUAUCUUUUCUUGGCUGUUCCUCAUUUAGCUGUUUAUUUCAAUUUUUAUGGUCAAGUUUGUAUUAUUGCAUCUUUUUUCUUGUUCCCUUGCUUUUAUAAUUGGUUAAUUGAAUUGAACAACUGAUCCCUGGUAACAGUGUGAACUUGAUAUCUACUUCCAAUGCUUAAUGUGUCCUUUUAUACUUUUUGAUCAUCAUUGUUAGAAACAAAUUCCACCCCCUAUUUUUGGUUAUAUGUUUGAUUAUUUUUAAGUUUUUUAUUUUUCCUUUGUUUACUUAGGGAAGUCCUCAGCAAGGGAAAGAGGCAGUUCGACUUAUCUCUCCUGAACCUUUGAGUUUUAACAGAUCUAGAUCAGGUGCAUUGGUCAUCAGAGCUAGCUAUUUCUAGGGUUCUCAGAAUUUUUUUGUUUGUUUAUGAUUAUGUAUAUAUAUAAUGUAAAAUUUGCCUGCAUUUGUAUUUCUGUAGGGAGAGUCCUACUUCCUCCGAUGGCAUUUUGGCGCAAUCAAAGAGCAGUUUAUGAUGUGGUUAGUCAUCAGAUUUUGCAUAUACCUUUAUAUAACUCGGCCAUGAAUCUUGGACUAUCAUCUAAUCUUAUGCACUUUAUGGUGCUACAGAUUCUUUUCACCACAGGCAUCUCAUGUCAUAUGCAUCUUUCAUUCUUAGCAACUAGAUUCUAUGCCUAAUUUGAAGCAGAUUUAUCAUCUUUUAGGCUUUGGAAUUUGUUAACCUCGGGUGUAUGGAGGAAUACUUGGGGUUUUCAUUUGUGUAUCUCCUUUCAGGCGUAUUCUCAUUUGCUCUUAUUAAGGAGAUAUGUAUCUCAAAGUUGGUCCAUCUUCUUAUAACUACCCUUAUAUAUGUUUCAGGAUCAGAGUGUUACAGAAGUUAAACAAGGCGACCUGAAUCUGGAUUAUCUAUCUAGAGGUGCUACACGAUCUCUUUAUUUUCCUUACGAGAUGAUUCAUAUCAAGAAUUUUGCUUGAGUGAGGAGUGAAGAAAUUCUCUUCUAGCUCCCAAACCUAUUAUUUACUUGUAAAAUAGAUCUUUCCUUGCUAUUUUCACAGUUGUACUCUUCAUGCCUGUUGCUUAUGUAAUUUAUUGGAUGUUUAUGGCUUUGGCAGUGUGUAGAUCUGAACCAUCAAAAAAGAGACGGCAACACAGAUGAAAGUUAAAGCUCCUAUUGUCUAGUGGAAAUGUAAAGGUAUGUUAAGUAUUCACAGUUAACAUCUUUGAAUCAGGCGCUCUUCACAAAACAAUCUAAGAGUCUAAUUGUUGUCAAAGGCACUCUUAAAGCAAGGCAGAAAACAUGUAGAGCGCUUUGCCUCACUUUAUAGGCGCUUCAGUGUCUUCAAGGCUUUAAGACAUACUUUCUUUGCCAAUGAGUGCAAUCUUGAAGAUGCGACACUAAACAAUUGAUAUUUUACUUUAUCAUAAUGUCUUUUCAAUUUCUUUGUCCAUAUAUUUAUUAUUCAUGCUUGUGAUUAUUAAUCUUGGAUUACACGCCAUUUGCACCUUUAGUCAAUAAAAGUCCAUGCUUUAUUUGCGCUUAUAGUUUAGAGCUUUUUUGUGCUUUUCGCUUUUGAUAACACUGGAGUCUAUGGUGAUACUUUUUGGAAGGAUUCAGAGUAACUUCCAUCUUUGUUAACCAGAAAGUUGAUCAACUCUGUACAUCUUUUAUACAUGUUCUCUGGUUAUGUUUUUGGUUAAAGUGGAUGUUUAUCUUUGCUAAUAAAAGACAGAGCAAGAAACAAAGCGAAAGACCUCAUGAGGGUUGUAUUUGUUUUCAAAGAACUCAACUAAUUGUUAGUACUCCACAACUCUUGACAAGAUUCCUGGCUAGUCCUCUUUGUAUGGGUCGACGUGAUGCAUAUAAGCAAAAGUUGUAGAAAAUCAGUUUCUGAACUUAAACUAAAAGGCGAAAAAAAACUUCUACUUUUAUUUAGUUUCUGCUAUUGCCUCUGUUUCACUGUUUGUUCAGCCGAGGGUCUUUUAGAAACAAUCUCUCUACUUUCUCAAAGGUAGAGGUAAGGUUUGCGUACACUCUACUCUUCCAAGACCCCACUUGUGGGAUUACACUUUGUUUGUGUACUUGUUUACUUUUAUUUAGUUUUCCUUUCAUAAUCAAAGUUGCGGAUUUUCUUGCUUAACUCUCUUUGUUAUGUUUUGUUCAGGAACCUAAAGGGGAGGCAUAAGCAACACUGGCACAUUUGUACAAAAAUGUGUGAAGGCUCUACAGUUUGCUAAUGCCAUUUUUGGAUGCAUAUUUACUAGACAGAUAUCUCUUUUGUUUCUUAGAACAGCUUGUAAGCUAUGAUGUUAACUCAUUUAUGCAGCUAGUUAUGCUAAUAUAUAGGUUCACUUGGACUGUAUCUUGGUAUAUCUGAAAGCAACAAACUUUUCAAACACAUCAUAUGGUGUAUUGUGUAUCAGAAAUAGUUUAUCCGUCUUCACAAAGCAGGGGUAAGGUCACUCUCUCCAGACUUUUCAAACACAUCAUGGUGUAUGAUGUAUGGUGUAUCAGAAAUAGUUUCUCCGUCUUCACAAAGUAGGGGUAGGGUUACCUUCUCCACUUGUGAUAUUACAUUGGGUAUGUUAUUAUUAUGUCAUGGUCACAUGUUGUCUUCCAGUGUGAAUACCAUUCUUUUUUACUUUUUUUGGUUCAAGGACUCAAAAAUCUAUCUGUCAAUAUGAAUCUCGAGAGUGGAUGGUUGAUUGUUGCCUCCUUGUCCGAUAGGCUUUCCUAUUGAGACUGUUAUGGUCCAUCAAUACAAAAAUAUCCGUUAGCCUAUACACUGAAUAAUUUUUUGUAUCAACCAAGUUUAAGCAAAUGUAAAUUUGAUUAUUUUAUCUGAUUCUUACCUUCCUUCAGCACAAAUAUUGAAUAACUCUGCCAACAAAGUUUAAGCAAAUGAAACCUUAAAUAUUUAACAUGAUUGCUACUUUCCAUCGACAUGGGUACUGAAUAAUUUUGUCAGCCCGUUUAGAAUGAACCUAGAAUAUUUUAUUUAAUAUUUACCCUCCAACAACAAAGAUUUCGAAUGACUCUGUCAAUCAAGAUUAAGCAGAUGAGACCUUAAUUCUUUAUCUAAUUGUUAUAUUUCACCAAGAUGAGUAUUAAGUAACUCUACGAGUUGUUAAAUUUCUCAUGAUUUUCACCCACUUCGUUGUUAAAUAAUCUAUAUUCUGCAUUUAUAAACAAUAUGAAAUAUUUCUUAUAAGAAUUUUUUUUUUAAAAAAUAGUAAAAUCGAUUCCCCACAUCCUGGACUUGUCUUUUGAGUACAUUAUAUGUUUUUUUCCAAGUGAACGGAAAAAAAAAACUUUUUUUUUUGUUGAGAUUUGUCCAUGUCUAGAAGAAACAAUGUAUAAAUAAAGCAAUUAUUAUUGAACCUAGAAGAUUAUAAUUGUUUUUUCUUGAUGAUUUCAUCUUCCAUAAAUGUCCACUAUAAAAAGAAAAAAAAAGAUUGAUAAUUUACUAUUUGAAAAUGAAAGGACAAUAUAGAGAAAUCAUUACAUCUAUUUUCCACUUUGUAAUUUUUUGUGGGUGAUAAAAAUUCUCAAACAAAAAAUAAUAAACUUACUUUUCUCUAUGUAUGGAUUUAGUUGGGGAGGGGUUCAUGAUUCGGUUUGAAUUGAUUUACCUUUUUAAGAAAUUAAAUUAAUUAAGUUAAUUUUUUAAAAUAUUGAAACAAAAUCAAAUCAAUUAUAUCAUUUUUACAAAAAAUAAUAAUUAAAAUAUAUGAUACUUACUUUCAAGUACAUAUUAGAUUAAUUAUAUUCCAAAUAUAAGUUAUAUAUGUAGCCUCCUCCAAAAAUUUGUAUGGAUGCAUUGUAUGAUAAUUUAACCAUUAUUAAUUUCAAGGAACAUAAUAAAAUUUUGUAUAAUAAUUAUUUUGUGCAAACAAUUAAAGAUUUAGUUGUAAUAUCUCAAAAUAUAUAUCUUGACAAUAAUUGAAGAAACAAUGAUGAAUAAUAAAGCACUCAAAGACAAGUUCUUUUGAAUAUGAAAUAGAUUCUUGAAAUUAUCAAACUAAAAAUUAUAAAAUCAAACCAGAAAGUAAAGACAAAGAAUUAGAAUGCUAUAAAAACAAAUCAUCUAAAUCACGAACCAAGAGUGCAGAAGAUUAAUAUGCACCAUAAUAUACACAACAAUUAUAAUUUUCAAAUAAAUAUUUAUAUAAUCGAUUUAGUUUAAUUUUUUUGAUUAUUUUCCGCUUAAAAUCAAAACCAAACCAAAUUUAAAAAAUAUUGAUUUUUUUUCUUCAAUUUGAUUCAAUUUUCAAAUCUUUCAUGAGCUUUUUUGAGAUACAAAAAUAUUCAAAAGUCAAAACUAUCCACAAAAAUAGUUAUUAACAUGAAAUAGACUACUCUAUAUAUAUGGCUUCCCUCAAAUUUGCAUACCUUUUUUUUUUUUGUGUGUGUGGAAGAAAAUAAAUAAUUUAUGUUUAGUGCGGCCAGAGCUAUCCACUAUUUUAUGUUCAACAAGUACAGAUUAUAAAUUCAUAAGUGAUGUAAUUUUCUACAAUUUUAAUCAUUAUAGUGAAAGAUGUACAAUCCAAUUUGGUCCUCAAAUAAAUAAAUAAAUAAACAAAGUUUUAUAUUUUAGUUGUUAUUUGGCAAGUUUCGAUCCAUUUAAUAAAUUUGACUUUGUUCAAUCAUUAAUUUUUUUGCUUACGACCUUCCACUAACAUAGUGGAUCAAAUCGUAUCAAAUAUUUUAUUAUUCUUUUCUGUUGUAUCAGAUUUCUACUAGACUAUAUAUAUAUAUAUAUAUAUGAUCGAUUCUACACAUUGUAACUCUUAGUUUGAUUCAUCUGAGUUUUCGUUAAUUACUUUUUACCUAAACUAAAAUUCACUUUUCUCGGUUAGAUUCUUUUUAAUACACUAGAAAAGACAUAAUAUUGUAAUUAUUACAUAAUUUUCAAAUAUAUAUAAAAAAAUAUUUCAAAAAAUUUAUUAUUUUCAUAUUUGAAUUCAUGAUCAAAAUAAAUGUUUGCGUUGUAUUACAUUAUUUUUAUGUGAACACUAAAAUAGUGAUGAAAUAUUCGGUGAAUAUGAAAGUGAUGAUAUGGUUAUUGAUGAAAAUGAUGAACAAUCGGCUCAGAGUAACAAAGUCAUGUGCUUUGUCUACUUCACGAUGUAUGAAAUGAUGCUUGUUUCACGCACUCCAAACUACCACAUUGCUCCAGUGUCAUGGACACUACUUGUUAUUUGUUGCAACGAAGAUCCAAUUGACUUGUAAUACAAACUUAUGGUUAGUUUUGAUAGUUUUUAAAACUUAUGGAUAUAAAUCAUAUUUUUCUAAAAAAGUGAAAUAUGUUUCUCAAAUACUAUGACCAAACACAAGGUGAAAUUUCACCCAAAUAAUAUUUGCCAAGAAUAUUUAAAAAUUUAUGAUCAAACGCUAGCUAAAUUAUUUCACUCUCAAUUUCGAAUAAUGCCACGUAAAUUUGAAAAGACAGUAGUAAUCAACUAUGUACAACACGUGUAACAGUUAAAUACCACUAAAUAUGUCCAUUACAUCACAAUUGCAUAAAAAUACUAUUGUAGUACAGUAAAAUAAAUAAUUAUGUAUCUCAUUUUAAUAUUAAUUUAACUAAAAGAAGUGACAUGACAACUGAACUUACCUUUGAUUUUCCGAAAACAUUUUUUUCCUUUUUUUACCCAAUAUUUAAUGAAUUUGAAAAUAAUGAAAAUUUUAGAAAAAAAUAUUUUUUAUAUAGCAUUUCUAUAAUUUUCUCAUUGUUACAGGUUGGUUAUUUGAAUACUAAUUUAGCUUAUGAUGAAUUUAAAGCUGCAACUAAAAAAUGUUUUACAAUGAUCCAAUAAUAAAUUACAUUAAUAACUGGUCAUUUUAAUCCUUAAAUUAUAAUUUAUAAUAUAAUAUAAACUAAUGUGACAAUGAUAUACCACUAAAUAUAUAUUUCAGUAUAUUGCAUUGUACAAAAAACCCACCCAAUGAAAAUAAUAAUUAGAUUCUUCUACUAUGGUCGAGGAGAUUAAUUUGGAGGAUACAUUGGUACGCGGAUUCAUGAUUUAAAUUUUUAAUAUUGAACUUAUUAGGUUGCUCGUUUCUUAAUCAGAGGUUUUGAGUUCGAAUUUUAAGUAUAAAAAAAUUCUUACUAGGGAGCACUUCCCUUCGAAUGAGGCUCUACGCAAAGCGAAUUCAAAUUAGUCGGGCUCUAAUGGAGGUACCAGACACCAAAUAAAAACAAAAACAAAAUUAAAAAAAACAAAUAUUGAAUCUAUUAUAUUUUUAAAAUUAUGAAUUUAACUUUUGUUACAAUUUUAAUAAAUUAUUAUGCAUAAAUUUAUGCUUCACGUCGAAAAUACUAAAUCGAUGAAUCCGGGGUCUUUCUCUCCACUAUAAAUACCCCUCUCUUUGGCUUAGUUUCAAUAUAACCAAAAACUUGAACUUAGGAAAAUACACAUUGUGUAUUAUAUAGUUCAUUAUAAGGUUAUUUUUGAAGAAUUAAUAUAAUUCUCAUAAUUAAUUAUGGGUUUUAAUGUAACCAAUUCCAUAAAAACAUCAUCAGAUGGAGUAUGGCAAGGAGAAAAUACUUUACACUAUGCUUUUCCAUUAUUAAUUAUUCAAACAACGUUAGUUGUGUUCCUUAGUCGAUUACUUGCUUUCCUUCUCAAGCCCCUCCGCCAACCUAAAGUCGUCGCGGAGAUCCUCGUAAGUUUUAUGCACUGUCAGUAUAUUCUUUCGUUUUAUUUUAAAGAAUGUAAGUACUAUAGUCUCUCAUCAUUUUUUGUGUAAUCGAACAUUUUCACAAUCGUCCCUCAUCAUAUGGUUGCAUGUAUGGAGCAUGGAUAAAAUGCUAAACACGUCAAGUUUAAAUUCUGAAUCCACGUUUAGUUACACGUUCAUAAGGUGUUAGAGAAGGUUACAUAUAUUUGUCGCUAAUUGGUUGGUUGUGUAAGUAGUUUAUAAUGUCUUGGAUUACUAAGUCAAUUUUCGAUUUUAUUGUUCAUAUUAUUUCACACUUAUAAAUCUCUAAACUCAAACAAAAAAUUCUAUCAUAAAUAUAUCCUCAUAUAAAUCAAACUUUUUGAAAGCAAAAUAUAUCCCUUUAUAGCUCAUAUUUGUGUAUAAACACCUUUCGUACACUAUUAUAUACAUUUAUAUAAGGUUGAUACGUUAUAUACAAUGCUUUAAUUUCUCCAGGUAUAAUGUUGUCUAAUAAUAUAUAGGGAAAAAGAACAAAUAUAACCAUGAACUAUCGUAAAUGGUAUGCAGAUACCCUCCAUCAUACUUUUGGGACAAUUGGUGCUCUUGUCGUCCAAAAACUAGAGCAUAUAUACCCUUUAUACUAACGGACAUAGACGUGUCACAAUUUUAUCCACCGACCCAACAUUUAUUAAAUAUCGGGUCGACGGAUAAGAUUGCGUCACGUGUCCCUAUUUAGUCUUCCGUUAGAGUGAAGGACAUAUAUGCUCUAGUUUUUGGACAGCAGGGGCACCAAUGUCCCAAAAGUAUAGCAGAGGGUAUAUGCAUACCAUUUAUGACAGUUCAGGGGUAUAUUUGUCCUUUUUCCCUAUUAUAUAUUGGUCUAUAUGACGUAAUAUUUUAUGUUGGAUCGUAUAUUUUUGAAAAAAAAAACAUUUUUUUUGUAUUUUUCAGGCAGGGAUUAUGCUUGGGCCAUCAGCAUUUGGGAGGAACAAAACAUUCACAAAUUGUAUUUUUCCAUCAUGGAGUACUCCAAUUCUUGAAUGUGUAUCAAACAUAGGCCUAUUAUUUUUCUUAUUUCUUGUUGGUCUUGAAUUGGACUUAAACACCAUACAUAAAAGUGGAAAAAAAGCUAUUGGAAUAGCAUUUGCUGGAAUUUCAUUGCCCUUUCUAUUUAGCAUUGGAGUUGCUUUUGUUCUAAGAAAGAUAAUCAAAGGGAUUGAUAGUGUUGGAUAUGGAGAAUUUUUCUUGUUCAUUGGUGUUUCACUUUCAAUCACUGCCUUUCCUGUUCUUGCUCGAAUCCUCGCGGAAUUAAGGUUUGUUCAAUUAUACGAUCAUCUCAUCUGAAAUCACACACACUCUCUCUAUAUAAAGGUGGUUUAGGGUUUAACCUAGAUCUAUAUAUGUCCAAAAAAGAUGUCACAUAGAUGUUGUGGUGGAGUCAUCACCCCUUUACUAGAAAAUUAUACUGCGUAGAUCGAUGGAUAGACAACUUUUUUUAUUUAUUUAUGUACGAAUAUAUAUUACCUUUUUUGAAUUCAUGUGUGGUUUAUUUCUUUAUAUUCAGACUUCUCUUAGUGAAAAUUAUGUAUCAUAUAUGCUUGAAACUACUCCUACAUGAUUAAUUAGGUUUGGGGGGAAAAUUGGAAACCCUAAUUUCGAAAACUCGCGAAGGAUAUAGUUUUAAUUAUUACUAUAUUUGAAUUGCAUGCCCUUUAUCCAUAUGAUAUUAAUAUUGUUACAUGCUUACUAAAAAAAUCCUGCAUACGUUACUGUGUAUUGAAUUAUGUAUGACCAUCGUUCAUGUAAGGACUUUUAAUUAUAUUAUGUCUCAACAGGUUACUGACUACACAAAUUGGUGAAAUGGCUAUGGCAGCAGCUGCAUUCAAUGAUGUUGCUGCAUGGAUUUUACUUGCUCUUGCAAUUGCUCUAGCAGGAGGAGGAGGAGUUCAUCAUAGUCCUUUAAUUUCACUAUGGGUUUUUCUAAGUGGAAUUGGAUUUGUGGUUUUUAUGUUCCUAAUUAUUAGGCCAAUUAUGAUUUGGGUGGCAAAAAAAUCAUCAAAUGGGAACAACAAUAUUGUUGAAGAAACUUGUAUAUGUUUAACCCUAGUUGGAGUUAUGUUAUUUGGUUUUAUGACUGAUUUUAUUGGUAUACAUGCAAUAUUUGGAGGAUUUAUAUUUGGAUUAAUUAUUCCAAAAAAUGGGGACUUUUCAGAAAAAUUGAUUUUGAGAAUUGAAGAUUUUGUGUCUGGAUUAUUAUUACCACUUUAUUUUGCAUCAAGUGGUAUUAAGACAAAUAUUUCACAAAUUCAUAGUGUUAAGGCUUGGGGACUUGUGGUUCUUGUUGUGUCCACAGCUUGUGUAGGCAAAGUUUUGGGGACUUUUGUUGUGGGAAUAAUGUUGUGUUCAAUGCCAAUGAGAGAAGCUUUAGCACUUGGAUUUUUGAUGAAUACAAAAGGGUUGGUGGAGCUAAUUGUUCUAAAUAUUGGAAAGGAGAAAAAGGUUAGUUUUUACUUUUAUGUGUUUCGCUUUAUAUGAUGUUGUUUGACCAGAUAUAGAAUUUAAAAAGCAAAGAAACUUUUAUCGUAUAUAAGAAAUACACUUAAACUUAUGAUACAUUUUAGACAUGUCGGGGUUUUUUUCUAUGGCGAUAAGAGUAUAUACCGUUAAGGGUCAAAAAUUGAAUAUAUAAAAGAAAAUAAUUUUUAAGGUAGAAAAGUGACAUUCUUUUUUAACUGAUUAAAAAUAAUAUAAAUGUAAAUAAAAUUCUCUCAUAAGACUCAAUGAAUGAUGAUUUGAUCUUUUAAUAUGAUUUCGAGCAGUCUCACUUCAAGAGCUAGUAUUUUAGGGAGAAAUGGAUCCAAGCUAGGUUUAACUUUAAGUUUUUUUAAUUAUAAUAUCAAUCAGAACUACACUCAUUUUAAUUCUCGAUUUACCAAUAUUGAGCCUCAUAUUUUUCUGGUUGCUUAUCAAAUUUAAAAAUAGUAAACAAAAAAAUAUUUUCCUCUCUAUCAAACAUGACUCUAAGAAGAAAAGUUAAUUAGAGUCGCAAUUGAAUAAUGAUAAUUACUCAUUUUACUUGGAAUUAAUUAUAUGUACACUUUUGAUGUAUUAUGUUAUAUUUUUAAUAUAUUAAACCGUUCAAUUAUAUUUUUGACAAUUAUAUAUGACAACUAAUUUUUAAUUUUUUGCUCCAUUAUUAGGUUUUGGACGAUGAGACGUUUGCAAUAUUGGUGAUCAUGGCACUUUUUACAACCUUUAUCACAACUCCUAUAGUAAUGGCUAUUCAUAAACCAUCAUCAACACAAAAUCCUCAACUCGAAAAACCACAAAAAAAGAUCAAAAAACAAAACAAUCUUCGAAUCCUAGCGUGCUUACGUGGCCCGAGGGAUGCACGUGCACUCAUUAACCUCAUCGAGUCACUAAGGUCUGAAAAAAAUAACAAUAACUACGCCUCAGUCACAAAACUCUAUGUGAUGAGACUCGUGGAGUUCACCGACCGACUCUCAUCCAUAUCGAUGGUCCAACGUGCCCGAAAAAAUGGUUUUCCGUUCAUCGGCCGAGUGCUUUUCCGAGAUGACGCGACCGAUCAAGUGGGCGCGGCGUUCGAGGCGUAUAGCACGCUAGGAAAGGUCAUAGUCCGACCCACAAUGGCUAUCUCGGGUUUAUCGGAUUUGGAUGAGGAUAUUAUUCAUGUUGCGGAGAAAAAACGAGUUGAACUGAUUAUUUUGCCGUUCGAUAAAUAUUGGCAAAUGGAAGGAAAUGAAGAAGUGGAGAUUCAUGCAGGUAAGACCAUAAGAGUGUCAAAUGAGCCGAUUGAAUUACAUCAUGUUAAAAAGAUAGUCAAACUAACAAAUGAGUUGAGUCCAAUCAAACAAUAUAAGUUCUUUUUUUUCCUAUUAUUUAUAUCAUGAUUACAUUAAACAAAUAAAACAAUAAAAAAAAUUCUAAAUUUUUUAUGUUUUGAUUCUAUGUUAAUUUUAUGGUCAAUUGUAGGCUAGGUGUGUCUCAAACAUUAGAUGACUAAUUGGACUAUGUCAAAAAUGACACUAGUCGAUAAAUAUAUGUCUAGUUAAAUCUAAAUUAUAUUUCCAUGAGCUAAAUUUGAUAUCUCGACGUAUAGGGCACGGAUGGAGGAUGGCAAAUGAGAGAGUGAUGAGUCAAGCGUGGUGCUCGGUGGCGGUGGUGGUUGAUCGUGGAUUACAAUUGGUUGAUAAUGGGAUGAGAAUUUGCAUUGUGUUUUUUGGUGGAGCUGAUUGUAGUAAAGCUUUGGAAAUUGGUAGUAGAAUGGUUGAACAUCCUGCUAUUAGGGUUACAUUAGUAAGAUUCAUUCAUCAUGGAAGUACUAAUUUUGAUGAAGUUGAAAGGUAAAAUUAACUCUUCUAGAUAUAUGCAUUUGUCUAUUAGUGUCGGAUAACGCCAAUAUCCUGCCUAUGACAAAGUCCACGAGAGGACUGGAUUGACCCUAAAGUUGCGGUCAUGCUACCAGCUAUAGCUUUUUGGCAUGAUGGUAUAAACGUUUGAUCCUAACAGAUGUAUUAUGUGUUGUUUUUUGUUCCAAACAGGACUUUGGAUGAUUCUACUAUUGCAGAAUUCAAGAUGAAGUGGGGUAAACAAAUUGUAUAUAGUGAGAAAGAAGCAAAUAAUUUGGUGAAUGAAGUGUUGGAAAUUGGAAAAAGUGGAGAAUUUGAACUUAUGAUAAUAGGGAAUAAUAAAAGUAAGUUUCCACAAGGCAUAAUGGCAAAACUAUUUGAUGAGCAACAAUUGAAUAAUUCAGAAUUUGGGCCAUUGGCUAAUUUGUUGGCUUCAUCAGACAAAGGGAUAAAAAGUUCUGUUCUAGUGAUUCAACAACAACAACAAGAAGCUAAGUUUGGGAACUCAAAAGUGGCUAGUAGCUUUAUUGAUAAGGAUAUUGUGUGAAUCAUUUGAUAUGAAGUAAUAAGAUAUUAUUAAAUUUGUGUUAGUUGUAGCGUUUUCUUGAGUCGAGGGUCUAUUGAAAAUAACUUCCUAUCUCAUGAAAGGGAUAAGGUAUGUGUACACACCAUGCACGCUCGUAGAACUAUGUUGUUGGUGUUAGUUCUAGCAGUUGAAUUUGAAGAAUAGUUAAUUUUAUAUAUUGAUGUGUCUCGUCCGUAUGUGUAGAAUGAAUAAAUAUGUUGAAAGUAUGUGAUUAUCUCAUAUAAAAAAUUACGUUAUGUUUCCAUUACGUCUUUUUACAUGCGUUCUUGCUUCUUCUUCGUAGUCACAUAUAUGUAUCAAGAACUAUGCGAUUCCUAAUGGAACAGACAAUAAAAACCACCUUGUCCACCAACUAUCAUUGGAUUAUUUGUACUACUAAUAAACACAUUGGAGUUGGGGGAGGGAUAUGUAAAACUUGUUUGCAUACCUCACUCCCCUUUCGGAUACAUCCCUCAUACUCCCCUCUCGACUGUUUGGAAGUCCAGUAAUGUAUCUCCCCUCUCGGAUACAUCCCUCAUACUCCCCUCUCAACUGUUUGGAAGUCUAGUUAUGUAUCAAAAAUUCAUAAAAUUUAAGGAAUUUUUGUAAUUUAGAAAAGAGAAGAAAAAUAAUGUAAUUAGCUCUUAUCACUAUGGGAUUUAUGUAAAUUAUACACAGACUUCCGGGUUUCUUGUAGUUAAAGCGGAUAUGAUGCAACCACUGGCACCAUCAACAUAAAUGGAAAAGACGAAAAAAUAUGUAAUAUGUGCAUAAUAUCAAAUCGCAUAAUUAUGCAGAAUUUGGUUGGCGAUAUUAAAUAGUAACAAGGAGUAAACUUCAGAAGCAUGAACAGAAGGUUAGUUGCAUCACAAUUCACACAGAAUGACAUAGAUGGCUACAAAAACACAUCAAACCCUGUAACACACAAUUCAUGAGCCAGAUGAAGAUGUUAAGCUGCCAAAGCCAUUUAUCCAAAGAUCUUUCAUAUGUCCAUAUGCAAACACACAUAAAUCAGACAUAAUAAUCAAGAAUCUCCAAUAUAUAGGACAGAAACAGAAACAAAAAUGGUCUUUACAAAUCCAAAUGUAGCCUAAACGCUUUUUUAGCCCCGAAUAAUGGUCUUCAACAAGAGUCUAAUUCUGUUUGUGCUUUUGGCUCUUUCUUCUUUAACAGCAGGAGCGAUUAACCCAACCUGCUGGCAAUGGUACAAAUAUCAACUAUAUUCAGACACACAAUUCCUUUUUUUUUUUCCAAAAAGACAUGGAGAAAAUUGAAUCUCGAAGGGCAAAAAAUAACUAAGGGAAGUUAUAACAUGUACUGCCGUCAGAGGAAACCUCCAUCGGUCCAUUUGGAAUCUGAUUUUCCAGCAUGAACAGUAGCAUGUUUAUUGUUGGAUGCACUCUGGUAGUGAUUAUCAAAUCCAUCGUCCUGGCCGUCAUCCCAUCCAGCCCAGUCAUCGUUCUUGUUGUUGGGUGCUGCUGCCGCCUUUGUAGGAUUUACUUUGCUUUUGUCUUCAUUGUCCCAAUCAUCCCAUGACCCAGAGCUAACAGAAUUAACGUUCCUUCCAGAGGACUGGGCUCCUCCAGAAGCAUUCCAUCCUUUAGAAUCCUGAUUAAAGUCCUGAUAAUAGCCAUUCUUUUCACUUUCACCUCGUUGCCAGCUAUCAUUCUUCCAGGCCGGACUUUCCUUGGUAUAUUCCUCUACCUUCUGUGAAGCCAUGGCCAAGACUCCUUUCAUGAUACCCCAACUUUUUUGUCCAAUCUCACUUGUUUUUGCCGUGACAACGUUGACCGUUUCAUUAACCUUGGUAUCAUAUCCACCUUCUUUCACCUGAAAGAACAGGAUUGGCACACACAUCUCAACUAUCAUUUAACUACACUGCUCCAUUUUCUAAACAACAUACCAGAGAUGAAAAGUAGACUAUAUGAUUGAUGAAAAAUUGAAAAAAGAGCAAAUAUAAAUAAAUAAAACUGAAGAGCAGACUUUUAGCAAGCACAUAAACAACUUCAGAGAGAGAAUUCCAGCUCAGAUGAAAAUAGCCAAUUGAUUCAUUCAACGGCAAUUCUCAUGCCUAUGGAAUACAGGGUAACAUUAUAGACUCCAACUCAUAGAGAAUGGACGUGUACACCAAAUAAUAUAUUUCUGGCAGAAUAGAAGUAAACUCUGGUUCAAUUAAAACAUGUGAUAGUGAAUGGUAUUUUAUCCAUCGAACAGCAACUCUUUUCUCCUAUAGAGAUAUAUCGUAGGAACUAUAGGGACCCCAUUGGUCUAAAUAAUUCCAUGCAAGUGCACCCUUCUUUCACUAAUGCAAGUGUAGUAUUGUCCCAGACAAUUUAUGGACAAUAAACAAAACAAAAAAGGAACAUUGUAUAUUUAAAGGAUUGAACUGAUCCAUACAGGUAUCAGAUGUUACAUAUUUUUAUAAGCACCACAUAAGGUGUGUAACAAUGGUAUAGCAGAGAAACGCAGAAACAUUGGUGAGACUGCAGAUGCAAGGACACUGUUUAUGAUAUAGCACCCAAGAUAAUCAUUUAUUUACUUCCCUAAGUCUCUGUUCAGAUGAUAUAGCGAACGGCACUCAACCCAGCUUACAUAAAAUAGCAGAAGACAGCAUGAAUCUCUGUGGGAGGUAGCAUGUCUUCAACCCUAGAACUAAUAAAUAGAGUUAAAAUAUUUACAUGGUUCCUGACUAGAACUAAAUAUCUGAUACCUCGCUCUGCAACCUUUUUGGAGAUGAAAGUUAAAGGAAAAUCCUAGUGGAUAAUUCACUCACAAAGACCUAACUAAUUAAGUAAUUAUAUGUUCACAUAUUUGAGCUUCACAAAGCUAAUCGGCUCAAAGCCUGAAUAAAGGUGGCUGAUUGUACUCAUUGUAGUGUGUACGGCCAACAUCAAGACCGUCUAACUAUGGACUUGAAUUGUGCAGAUUGACCGUUACAAGCUAACUACGGCCAACAUAAGGAUUGUCCAACUAUGGCUUUGUUGGCUGGUGUUAGGUUUGAGUCCAUGCAGAUCGUCUAACUACAGGGAUAUCCCAUUGUCCAUUUUGGAUAACUUAAUUACUCCAUUUUCUACUCUUCCUCUAACAACGGUUACCAACCAGAGCUCUUUGCAAAACUCCCCAUUUUUCUCUAGUGCCCUUGGUAUACUUCCCCCACUUUCAAAACGUUACCUGAUAAAUAUACUUGAGCUUCAUUUGUUUGCACUUAAUGAAAGACUUAAUCAUAAUUAUUCAGAUCUCAUCUCAGUCAUUAAGUUUGUUUUUAUAAAGGAAUGAGAUGACAGGGAAAUGGAGGAAAUGACCCUCUUUCUGCAGAUGAUAGGUAGCUUCCAAGGACAGCAAUUAGUACCAAAUAAGAUGGUAUGGAAAGAACACAAGGAUGGCCUUUUCUUAGUUGAGUCUAAUUACAAAGUAUUGUCACAAAGUAGACGGCAAGAACAAGUAUGGCCGUGGAAAUUGAUAUAGAGAAAGUCAGAAACAAACCACCUUAUAAAGUAGAGUUGGCUAGUGGCAAGAGAGGCUUGCUUGACCCAAAAAAAGGAAUCAAGACAUAUCUCGAGAAUUAAAAACAGCAAGUGUAUGUAAAGUAGAACACAAUUACAUAACCAUUAAUUUUAAAUCCAGAAGUCGAAUCAAAAUACCUUAGAAGUCAACUCCUUUGUCCCCACUUGAACCACACUUGCAGCUGACUGUGCUGCCGUUGCAGCUAUCAUAGAUAACCUACCAAAUCCCUACACAUACCACAUCGCAACCCGAUCAGCUAUAAGAAACUAGACAUAAAACAACACAGCAGAACAGGUACACACAGUUUACUCUUUAUGCAUAAUAAUAAUAUUACCUGUGUCCCAACAUAUACGCACUAUUUCCAUAUAUCUCAAAACGUUUGACAAAUUCUAUACAACUUUGGAACUCAAAUUCAUUAACUACUCACAUUUUUAACUUUGAUCAGAUGUUCCUUACCCGGAUUACUUUUCAACUAUCACUAGUAUAAUAUAUAAGUAAGUUCACAUAUAACUUCUGUUCAAUCAAAUCACAACAUGUAAAAUGUAAGGGAAGGGGUGAAUAACCUGAGUAACAGCAGAAAAAACAUCUCCUUGCUGAUUCAUGUUAUUCCUAGGCAUUGGGGCAGGAUUUGAUCCAAACCCAACAUACUUCCCUCCUUGAGAGGGCGGAAGCCCAUCAGGCCGGGACUCAUUCUCAGCCAUUCUCCUCGCAAAAAAGUUAUCUUUAUUCGCAGCUGACGCCUCAUACUGCUCCUUCGAGAUAUCAGCAGUCGACCUCGACCUAGCUGGUGCACCACCACUACUACCACCACUCCUAAAAUCUCCCACCGUCUGAUUCCUCCGAAUAUCUUUAGUAUUACUACCACUAAACCCUCCAUCAUCAUUAUUAUCCCAACUAUCCCAUCCACCAUUCCUACUGCCGCCGCCGCUUGCGCCGCUGCUCAACGGUGGUCUACUACCAUUAUUACUAGCUGAUCCCCCCAAAACUUCCUUAACAACUGGUGGAUCCCUCCAGGGCUUUCCCUCAGCUAGGGAUUGGAUCCUAUCACGAUAAACAGUAGCAGCUUUUGUAUUGUAUUUGGUAACAAUAUCAGUUUCCUUCGGAAUCCCAUACUGUAACACGAAUUUGUUGAAACUCUCGUUACCACCAAGCUCCAUUUUCCGGAUCUGGAUCUCAGACCAUGAGUCCAUGGUAACAGAUCGGACAAACGAGAUAUGUACCCCAAGCCCUCGAUGCUUACCGGAGCAUUCCAAGCACAUGAAAACUCCAUACGAAACUGAAGCCCAUUGAGGAUUCUUCUGAGAACAAUCGACACAGAUCUUGUUCCCCGGUUGGGCUUGAAGAUCUCGGAGCCUCCGUGAUGACGCCAUCUGACCCGGAUCCGAUUCAGAAGUGACUCGAAAUCGGAUCUGUGGAGUGAUCGGAGAAUCGAAAAUUGAGAUCAACAAAGAGGAGAAUUGAUCGGCCGGAAAAAUUGCGGUUUAAAGAGGAGAAAAAUGGCCGACACCGAAAAAGAGAUGAGUUGGAUAUCGGCUGGAUUACAAGUAGACCUUUUUUUGUCGUUUAGUUUACAAAUAAUUUUUAAUUUUUUUCCUACAUGAGGAACAUGGUUAAUUAUUUCGGGGCAAGAGAGUUGGCUAGUCGAAAACUCUCAUGUUCGAACGAUGAGUAUGUAGAGAUAUGGAUAUUAAGAUGAAUGUGUGGGGUUAUUAAGAGGGAUACGAUAAGAUGCAGGAAGUAAGAUUGAAAUAGUUUGAAUAUCGAUUUCCCUUCAUCCAUCUAGUCAAGUAAUUCGUUAUUGGAACUUUAUUUGUCGUUUAUCUUAUGACAUGCUUCUUCUUUUACUUAAUCGGUUCCUAGUAUCAGUUACUCAGGAUUUGUCAUCAAGAGAGGGAAAAGUGAACCUCGUGAAGGCUGAGAUGUGAAAAGUAAGAUUGAGAUAGUUUCUAUAUCUAAAGAGGAGAUGUGUGGAUGACGCAACAAGGAAGUGUGAGAGGUUGGUUGUCAAGGGUUUGAGAAGGGGUAAAGUUGGGUCUAAGAAGUAUUGGGGUGGGUGAUUAGGCAGAAUAUGACGCAUCUUCAGUUCACCGAGGUUAUGAUCCUUGAAAGGACGAUACAAAAAUUGAAAAUUAGGAUAGUUGGUUACUAGAUAAUCAAUUGAGUGUUUUGUUUUCUCAUUUCCGAAGUAUUGGUUGUAAUUGUAUAUUUUUGUGUUCUUAGAUUUUUAUUUCUAUUGAUUGUUUUCCGAGCCUUGAUUGAUUAUUGUAUGUCGGGAUGAUAAACUUUUGUUUUAAAGGUGAAUUGUUUCACAAAAUAGACAAGAAGAUAGAGAAAAAUAACCACAUAAUCACGGUAAUAGUCAUAGUCAUUGGAGAAGGAACAAUGGCAGAAUCAAGAUUUUUAUUUUAGGGAGUUUAAUAUAUAAAGCAGUAAACACAAGAAGGAAAUAAAGGGGUUCAACAUCUACUAUAUUCAUAUAAAAAAUAAUAAUUUUAACAAUGUAUAAAUAUUAUAAUUUUCUAUCGAAGCGGGUUUGGAUGAACCCCUAGGUCAUUCCAAGCUCUGCCCUUACAUAUGAGCUACCAAUCAUGAGCGAAAUUAAGGCCAAAAUACAGACACAUGAAUUCAUAGUCUUUUAAUAAAAUUAGAUAUUUUAUGUAUAUUUAAAAAAUGAGUAUAAUAUUAUUUGUUCUCCCAUACUACAAGAAUGUUAAAAAGUGCACUUAAUUUAAGUAUUGAAUUAUUACCUUGGCUAGGGAUCAAUUUCCACCUAAUACAUUCUUAUUUUAUAAAUUAUAGAUUCGCCUCCAUCACCACCCCUCCCUUCACUAAAUAUGCAUAAUUUAUACCCAUUAUGUAAUAUUAUACACCUUAUAUACGUUGGGUAUAUACAUACAAUGAUGUAUAUAAAGUGUAUAACCAUGAUACUUUUGGCAUACACUCCUCCACCCAUAGAUACAACCCCCACCCUCCUCUCCCGUUGGAAUUCAAUGAUAACUAUGAGAUCCAUCCCAACUAAUUUUAGUUUGAAUUACCAUAAAAGUUAUCGAUGUUCAAAAGUUCGUAAGUUCAUAAUGAUUACUUAUGUACAUAAGUUGUUAUUGUCUAAGACAGUCUAACAUGUUUUUCAACGAAUUUUCAUUUACCUUCACCUAUAGAAGUCGUUAUUAUCGAACAUGAAAUCACUAGUAAGUGCUUAUGAUGAGGAGAAAUCGAUAGAAUUCACCAUUUAACAAAAUCGAGUAACAACAAUACCAAAACACUGGAUGAAAUAAGGGAGGGGGGGGGGGGGGGCAAAUUUAAUAAAACCUUNNNNNNNNNNNNNNNNNNNNNNNNNNNNNNNNNNNNNNNNNNNNNNNNNNNNNNNNNNNNNNNNNNNNNNNNNNNNNNNNNNNNNNNNNNNNNNNNNNNNNNNNNNNNNNNNNNNNNNNNNNNNNNNNNNNNNNNNNNNNNNNNNNNNNNNNNNNNNNNNNNNNNNNNNNNNNNNNNNNNNNNNNNNNNNNNNNNNNNNNNNNNNNNNNNNNNNNNNNNNNNNNNNNNNNNNNNNNNNNNNNNNNNNNNNNNNNNNNNNNNNNNNNNNNNNNNNNGGGGGGGGGGGGGGUCACAUUAUAUAAUACCUUCAUUGCACUAUAAUGUAUCCACUAUUUGUUCUGUAUAUUUUGUUUGUAUAUUCAGUUGUAAUGUUUUAAAUUUAAUACUAGCAGUGCAUCAUAUGUUUAUGUAUAUAUUUAGUAUAUGAUGAAUUUUAAAAUUUAGUGAGAACUAGACAUGUAUUCAGAUGGAUAUAUUUGAUCAAAUAUAUGUUUAAUUAUGUGUACAUUCACACUAUAAUGUAUACAAAAUUCAUUUUAUACAUUUUCCUUGUGUAUUAAGUUAUUAUGAUCAAACUUAUUAUUAUACGUUCAAUAUAUGUUUAUGUACAUUAGUAUAUAAUCCUGUUAUAUAUAUAUAUAAAUAUACUAAAAUAACUAUUGAUUAAAAAGAUGGGAAUUUGUGCGCGUUCAAUGGAGAGAUUUGCGAACAAAUGAAGGAUAUUACUAUAUAAGAAGAGUGAAUAAAAUUCACUCUUCUUUCGACACGUGGCACCAAGAUGGCCCACCUACUUUUAUAUUUGGUUUUUGAAGAUGGCCCACCUAUCACAAAGAUGGCCCACCCUUUCAUUAUAUUUUAAUUUUUUCCUUUUUAAAUAGUACUAAAAAAUAAAUUUAAAAUAUUACAAAUUCGAUUAACUCUCAAAAUUUUACGCGAAUUCUAUAAUUAAGACGAAGGGAAUAACAUAUAUUAUUUGAAAAAUUACAUUAAGAAUACCAUAAACCACAAUAGUUAACAACUUACAAUAUUUGAAAAACAUAUUAACUCUCAAAAUUUCACAUGUGUCACAUAAAUUGGGACAAAUGGAGUAACAUAUAUUAUUUGAAAUUACGUUAAGAAUAUUAUUAAUCACAACUUAAAGUAUUUAAAAAUACAUAACAUAUAUUAUUUGAAAAUAAUGUAAAAAAUAUUAUAAAUCAUAAUAAUUAACAAUUUAACGGAUAUUGUGCCCGUGCUUCCAUUUAGAAGUGAGAAUGUUUAGGAGCUUAGGGUUAGUCAGUCAAUUGACCGAUUUGCCCUUCUUCUUCAACUUCCUCUAUUUACUACAAAAAUAGUACUAAAAAUCAAUUUAAAAUAUUAAAAUUUUGGUUAAUUCUUGAAAUUUCACAUGUAUUGCAUAAUAUAAUAGAGUAGUAACAUAUAUUAUUUGAAAAUUAUAUAAAUAGUACUAAAAUAUAGUUUAAAAUAGUACUAAGAAUUUGAUUAACUCUCGAAAUUUCAUAUGUACUGCGUAAUUGAGAUUGAGUGAGAAAUAUAUAUUAUUUGAAAAAUAGAAUAAAUAUGUGAUAUUAUUAGAAAGAGCUUUAAUAUAUAUUUUAAAAAUUAUUUUGUCUUCCGUCUAUGAUUUUCUGCAUAUAUGUGGAGUUUUAAAGUUUUUAACAUUUUAAUAUAGAAAUAUGAUUAUUUGAAAAUUUUAGUACUUUCUUCAUUUAAAUUUUUCCUUGUUUUUCUUUUAAUUUGUUCUAGAUUUAAAAAUUACAUAAAAAGUACUUAAAAUCACAAUGUAAUAAUAUAAGAUAUUAAAAAAACAUAAUUAAAAAUCAUAAAAGAAAUUUUAUUGACUCUUUAAUUCCAUAUUGAAACAAAAGAAGUUUGUUUGAAAAUAACAUAAAAAGUAACGUAAAUUAAAGUAAAAUAACAACUAAAAAUAUUUAAGAAUCAUAUAAGAAAUUUAGUUGAGUUUCGUAAAAGUACCUACGUCACAUAAAAUGGAACAGAAGAGUAAUAUAUAUUAUUUGAAAAUGAUAUAAGAAGUGCUAUAAAUCACAAUAAAUUAACAACUUCAAAAUAUAUUUAACAAAAUCACAUACAAAAAAUUAUAUAACUCUCCAAAUUUCAUCGGUGUCACAUAAAUUGAAACAAAGAACUACUCCCAAUUUAUGUUAUUUACUUUCCUUUUUAGUCAGUCCCAAAAGAAUGUCACAUUUCUAUAUUAAGUAACAAUUUGAUUAUAAAAUAUUUAUUUUACCCUUAAUGAAAUAAUUUACAGUCAUACAAAUUUAUAUCAUUCAUUUUGGACCACAAAUUUUAAAAGUCUUCAUUUCUUUUUUAAACUCCGUGGUGAAUCAAACUACCUCACAUAAAAUGAGACGGAGGAAGUAAUAUACAUUGGGCCCGCGCUGGCGCGGGAACCUAAUAACUAGUAUAGGAAGAGAGAUGAAGGAGGAAAACAUUUUUGGAGGAAAAAAGAUAUAUAUAUAUAUAUAUAUAUAUAGGGAGAGAAAUGAUAUACAAUGACCUUUUUUUUUUAGGAAAAAUUAUCUAAGUACAUAUCUUAUUUCAUCAUAAUCUCUAAAAUUUCCUACUCCCAUUUUAAAAAAUUACAAAAAUCCUCUCUCGGAUGCAUUCAUAUCCCCUCUCAGAUACAUCUCUCCUCUCUCGGAUACAUCAUCUCCUUUCGGAUACAUCCAUGAGCUAUGUAUCCAUAGGUUUACUGAUGUAUCCGAGAUCCUAUAAUUUUAAGAAAUUUUUGUAAUUUAGAAAAGAAUAUGAAUAUUAUGUAAUUAGCUCUUAACACUACGAGAUUUAUGUAAUAUUUACUUUUUUCUAUUUUGUACAAUUUAUUGGUUGAAAUUGUCAUGAAGUGCCAACUUUAUCUUUUUUUUAGGAACUUUCGCAAAUAGCCACUAUAAAAACCUAAUUAUGCUCCAUAGCUAUAGUUUGCAUAUUUACCGGCUAUAGCCACAGUUUAAGCUGUCUCGUUUGUAUAAUUCGCGGAUUUGUAUAAUUCGCAGGUUUGUAUAAUUUGCGGGUACAUUUGUAUACUUCAGUUAUUUUUGUAUAACUCGAAAUAACGAAUUUAUACAAUUACAAACAUCAGAAGUGUAAACAGUUAUAUAAAUUAUAUUAUACAAAUUCUGAAUUAUAUAAAAGUUAUACAAAUUAUAUUAUACAAAUUCUGAAUUAUACAAAUGUGCGAAUUAUACAAAACCAAAAAGCUGAGCCGUGUAAUUAUAUCUAAGCGUAGGUCGCGAAUUGUAAUUAAGACAAACUAUAACUAUGUUAAGUAAUUAACUAGUAUAUGUUUGCUUAUACACGUAAUUUUCCCUUUUUCCUCCUAUAAGAUGAUAAUGAAAGCCCAAAACCAAAAGCCCAGAUAAUACAAAGGACAGGACAACCUACGGCCCAAGUUCAUUUCAAGCCCAUGUCUCAGAUAUUUAUAAGGAGAAACUACCUAAUUACACAAAUAUUCCUAUCAUAUUUAUCAAUUUUUCUUAUAGUUUGAAAUAAUUAUAUUUUAUCUUAGUACUUAAUGAUUUUAUACCAGAUCUUGAGUCAGUUACAAGUAAAUCACACUAGAUACACAUUAUAUACAUGUAUUUGGUGUGAUUCGCAUGUAUCUAGGAUACCAUGCAUAUACGUGAGUGUGAUAUGAUAGUGACGAACGAGACAGGAGGGAGGCGAGCGACAUAUAUCCCAGAUACAUGUGAAUCACACUAAAUGAACACUAUAUAGGAAUACUUAGGUUUAGAGGGUGGUCCCCCUUUCUCGCGUAAAAGCGAUCAGAAUUCGAACACACCGUUAUAUAUCUGAUACGAUUCACAUGAUUCUGGUUCAACACUUUAUCCAAAUACAUAAUUAUUAUUUAUUAAAUCAAUUUCAACUUUUGAUGUCUUAUCAACAACUUUUAAUCAACUAAUUGAAAUGGAAUCUCACUAGUAAUUUAUAUCUCAGUAAAAAAAUGUGUUAAGAACGUUGAAUAUUAGUGAAACUAUACAUAAUAUUGAACCAAGAUGGAUGAAAAUGAAGUUACAUGAAUAAUGAGUAUUCAUUUGGUCCCAAAAUAACUUGGAUAUCAAUUGUACAUGGGACCAAUCUUUUUUUCUUCUUCUAUUUUUCUAAGAAUUUAGGAAUAUUAUGUGUUACUAUUAUUAAAUUAAAUCGUGUUAGAUAUACAAAUAAAGUCUCAUAUCGGUAGCUGAAAAGAAAAGGGAGAUAACUAUAUAUAAGAUGUAAGAGUAUAAUUUUGUAAUGAUAAGAGAAAAUCACGUGAGCUUAAUUCAAAGCGUACAUGUUUAAGAGUUCUAUCUACCCUAUAAUAAAAUUGCUCAUAAUUAUCAUGUAUAUCGUAAUAUAUCUUCUCAAUAAUUCAUAUUUAUCAAGUAACUCAAUUUUAUAUUGUUUAAGAGUUAUUUUGUUUUCAUAAAAAAGGAGGGUACAACAAAUUUAAAUAUGCUAUUGAAUCGAGAUGAAUUAAAAUGCAUGUGUGAUAUGACUAAUGAGUAUUCAUUUGGUCCCAACUUAAUAACUUGGAUAAUCAAUUAUAUAUAUGGGACCAAUUUUUUGUUUCUUUCCCCCCAAGAUUUUAGGAAUAUAAUUUGUUACUACUGCAAAUAAUAAAUUAAGAUAUGAAACAUGUUGAAUGUACGAAUAAAGUUUGAAAAGAAAAAUGAUGUAUAAGAUGUAUGAUAUGAGGUUUUUUAAAAAAAAAUUAUACGAGUUUGAUUUAAAGUGUAUAAUGUCACAUAAUUAAUGUUAAUAGUAUUUUUUUAUUUGAUUUAGUCAAAUAACUGAUAUUCGAGUUUGUGAUUCAAUGAGACAAGUAAAGAAAUGUCGAAGUGAUAACGUGAGACUCUGACUUACUAUUUUUACCGUACCAACGAUUGCUUGGAGAUCGAUGCAUGCACUGAAGAAGAAGCUAGUUCUAGAUUUGAUCUAGCUAUAAAUACGCGUUCAUUUUGAUCGUUAACACUCGUAUUAUUUAUCCUUUUAAAAUUCUUUUGCACUUUCUUCUUAUAAUUUUUUUAUAAGUUAGAGUAAUAUACUGUCAAAAAUAUAAAUCAAUAGUCGAAAAGUAUUGAACAAAGUGACUUACAAUCUUUUUUUUGCUUCUUCUUAAAUUUUCAAGUAUAACAUAGACAUAUUAUCUUUAUGUAAAGUUUGUCAACUAGUUAUUAAUUUCUUGUAUCAGAUUCUGUGGUUCUAAUUCAUAUCUUUAUGUAAAAUUUGUCAACUUAUUACUUAUAGAAUUAUAUAAUGAUUGCCUUAGGGAAAAAAUGUUUUUCAACGUUGAAUUGAUAAACUUUUACCUUUAAUUAAUAAUUAAAACACGAUAUUCGAAGAAAUCAUUUUAAAAAAGAUAUUAAGUAAUAAUUUGCAUUUAAAGCUACAUAUAAAGAUUUUACUUUAGACCUCAAAUUAAGUUGAGUCGCCCCUGCUCGAAUAUAAUGUUUGUUUUCUAGGACCACCACAACAAUUAAUAAUUUUGUAGUAUUCAAGGGAUACAGUUGAGCAAAUUAAUUCUGAAAUUGAUAUGUGACCAAAAUUAAAGUCAUCUCGAUUUGCAAAUUACGUACUAUGGCAAAGGGUCAAAUAUAUCCAUGUACUAUUAGAAAUAGUUUAAAUAUGCCCUUCGUUAUACUUUUGGUCCAAAUAUAUCAUUAUCGUUAUAUUUUGGGCCAAAUAGAGAAGUGGAGGGUUGGAAACUUGGGAUUAAUUUGAAGUAUCCAUAUCCUUUUGUCCAAACCAACACCAAAAUAACCCACUUAAACACUUUUUUGCCCAAACCCAUUUAUAAGUAAACAAAAGCACAACCAGUUUGUCAAAAACAUUACUAAUUGAUUAGCUUCGAGCAGUACAUGAAUUUGGUUUUUAUAAUUACUGUUUUCAUUUGUUUUGCCAAUCAAAAAUACAAAACGUUGAAAAAUAAUUCGAACUUUUUAAAAAUUGUUCACCGUAUGUUGUUCUUAUUGAGUUCAUUGUCUGGGUUUGAUUCUGAAAUUUUUGAAAGUUCAACUGAUAUGGUGCUUGAAAUUUCAUUGGUUUCGAUUUACCCGCUAAAAUUAUAAGGCACAUUCGGUGGAGAAGUAGGAAACGAAAUUGUUGGGUCUUCGAAUCGUCAUUCAUAUUUAUGGUUGAAUUACUUAAAAAUUUGUGAAUGGAGGUUACUGUAAAUCAAUGGAAUAUUGAAAAUUAUUUGGGUUAGUUUUUUUUUAGCUGAGAUUUUCUCUUGGCGGAUAUUAUUGAGCUAAAUUCAGUUUUGGCCUUUUGGGGUUCUUUAAAUUUGACGAUGAAUUUAAAAAAAAUUCUAAGUUCUUCAAUAAUUUUUCACUGUUGAUUCAUCAAAAUUUCAAGUUGUUGAGAUUUUGAAGUGACUCUAUGUGUUCGGUUGUUGAGAAUCAUCAACUUAUAUGAAUACAGUUAUCAUUUAAUCGGUCAAAAUUGAAUCGAAGAUUGUUAUUUUUGUGGCAUUACUGCAUUGUUGUAUGUUGAUAUUAGAAGCUUUAUUUGGGUUGGGUUAUGAGUUAUUUUGGGUGGUUGUUUGGACAAAAAGAAUAUGGGUACUUCAAAUUAAUCUCAACCCUCCACUUGUCUAUUUUAAGAUUGAAAUUCAAAUAUUUAACGGAUGAGGGGUAUAUUUGGCCCAAAGUAUAACAGUAAGGGUAUAUUUAGCCCGAAAGUAUAACGAGGGGUAUAUGUAAACUAUUUGCAAUUGUACAGGGGUAUAUUUGACCCUUUGUCGUACGUACUAUUCCCGUUACUUCAAUGUAAAUAAAUUAUCCAUAUUUUUUUAAUAGUUUAAAAUAAAUAAUUACUUUUAAAAUGUAAAAAUAUACUUAUUAAUUAGUUUAAUCAAAAUUAUACUUUUUGUAUAGUUCAAAAUAAAUAAUUAUUUAUAAAAUCUUAAAAUAUACUUAUUAAUUAUAUUAAUCAAAAUUAUAUUUUUUAAUAGUUCAAAAUAAAUAAAUAUUUUUAAAAUGUAAAAAUAUAUUUAUUAAUUAUUUUUUACAAAUUAUACUAAUUUUUUACUAGAAUUUUAUAUCAGUAUUUUUAAAUCUCAAAUAAUGACAAUUUCUAUUUUUAAGAAAGUUUGAGGAAAAUCAAUAAGAUAAAAUAAUAAUAAAUUACAUAUUGGUUAAUGUUUUAAAUAUUUUUUAAACUUAAUAUUUCAUGUCUCAAUAAUUUAUUUAUAUUGAAGUGCUAUUUUUUUUUGGUAAUUAUUUUCUUCAUUUCCAUUUUAAAACUAUAUAUGUAAUAUGUGAGUCAAAUAAUAAAAUGAUCAAGUGUAUUUUAUUUUUUUUGCAGAAUAAUUAAUGAGAUUGGACUAGAAGUAGAUAUUCUUUACUGAUUGAUUUAAAUCUUUUAUUAAUUCGCCCAUCCCUUUUGCCAUAUUGGUUUUUUGUCCGGGCGCGUAAAGUCAAUUCAAGAUUUAAAAUUUUAUAGAAUUUAUAUCAUAAUUUAAAGUCAAUAAUUUUAUAUUUAUUUUUUAUUUAUCUAUAAAUGUUUUAUAAGAUAUUUUGUGUAGUCCACAAAGUAGUAUGAAGAAGAUAGAAGGUAAGAAACUUUAUCUUUAUUUCAAAGAUAGAGGGAUUAUUUUUUCAAUGGAUCCUUAAUUUAAGAAAAAACACUUCAAAGCCAAAAAAAGUAAUGAAUAUAAUGAUAUAAUAAAAUAAUACGAUAGAUGAGAUAUAAGAAUAAAUAGUAGCAAAAAUCCAAAGACAACAAAUUACAGAAGUAAUACUAUGACUGAUACAUGAACGGACAUCAAGACGACACAUUAUUAUCUUCUAUUCUAAUAGUACUAAUUUGUAUCUUCAACCCUAUCCUAUCUAAGCAUAGGUAAACGAUUGUUCUUUGAUACAACCUCAUCAAAACUUGAAAAUGUUUCGAGUCUCCUACCAAAGUCUUACUCCAUCAUAAAUAUUCUUAAUCGUCCUAGUGUAUGUCACAUGGCCUCUAGUUCCAAGCAACUCUAUAGAACUUUUCCUUAGACUUUGUCACAUGUCUUCUUUAUAUCGGUGAAUACCUUCCGUCAGUGACGGAGCUAAGAUUUUCAAUAAAGGGGUUUAAAAUCUGAAAAAAUAAACACAUGAAGUAGCCUAAGGGGGUUCGACAUCUACUAUAUAUAUCUAAAAAAAUAUUUUAACCAUAUAUAAAUAAUAUAAUUUUUCGCCGAAGGGGGUUCGGAUGAACCCCUCAUUGUAAGGUGGCUCUGCCACUGCCUUCCGUCCUUUCGUCAGGGGCGUACCCACCUUUUAGUCAAGGGGUGUCAAGCGACACCCUUUUGUUGGAAAAUUACAUUAUAUAUAAAUGUUAAAUUUUAGUUUAUAUAUAUAUAGUUAAACAUUUAGUCUAGUGGUUAAAGCGUUGAGAAAAUUCCUUGAGGUCGUGCGUUCUCUAAUUCUAGUAGCCUCAUAAUUAUAUUUUUUACUACAAUCAUUGACACCCCUUAAUGACAAUCCUGAAUCCGCUACUGCCUUCCGUAAGUCUUUCUACCCUUUCCUAUACUAUUUUAUUUUAUUAAGCUAAUUCGUUUAUGUCACUAUCCAUAUAAUAAAAUUCAAAUUGUGGAUUUUUCAACAAAUUAUCCUGCGUCCCAUGAUAAAAUAGACUUUAGCUGCCUCCCCUAUAUGUUAGGCACACAAUUAUAUGAAUAGUUUUAAAUUGGUCACCUACUUAAAAUUAGGAGAUAAUGGCAAAUAUUUGGACCGUUAAUAUAUAGUUAUAUUUUUAAAAAAUUAUGAAUUAUAACUAUAUUUUGAGUUUUUAUAGAAAAUACAUAAUACAUACGUGCGUUGAUAUAGUAUAUGUUAAUACACUCUUUCACUAGUUUUUAGUUGAUACAAUAUGCGCUACGCUUGAUACAAUUCUCCCCCUAACACAAGUACUAUAGCUAUGUUUCAUAAAUACAUAAAUUGUAGCUACGUUCCGUAAUUACGUUUUAAAGUAUAGAUAUUUAUGAUAUUUCUUUUCUCAAAUGAAGAAAAAGUAAAACUAGUAUAAUUUUUUUUGUUUUGAUAAUCGUGAUGUCCGAAUCAAUUUACACGUACCUCGUUAAAUCUCAUCAUGAGACACUUGAACAAACGGAAAAAAUAACCUAAUUUUUUUGCUCGAAAUUUAAAUAUCAAAAUUCAAAAGUAACAACUAUAACAGGGAUCUUAAUAACUCAGUUUGUUGACUAUUUGAACUUUAAUUUUGUUGGUAAGAAUUUCAUUCCAUCUCGUAAUCUCCACCACCAUUUCCCUUCCUCUACCCCUCAUGUAAUAUUAUUAUUAUUUAAAACAAAAAACAAUAACAAUAUACUCAGUAUAAUCUUAUAAGAUGAGAUCUUGAAAAAAAAGUAUAACACACACACACAAAUAUUCGUACACUUACCUUGUGAGAAUGAAAAGUCUACUAUAAGACGAUCAAGUCUGAAAAAGUUAGAAUAUACGUAAAUCUUACACCUAUCAGACUAUCUUCGAUCGACCCUCGGGUGAAAGUUAAAAAAGGUAAAACUUAGAUGGUGGUUCAUAGAUUAAUACUUUAGGCAACUUCAUGUGACUAGUACAACUCUUAGACUGGACCAUGCAUGUGCAUAGUGACAGAUUUAGAAAUCAGAAUUUAAUACUGGCUAGCUUGUAUUGUCAAGAAUUUAUUGCAAUGAACAUGAUAUGAUAGCUUUUUUUAUUAUUGAAAAGUGGUGUAAUAAUUUAUGUAACAUUUAUAGAUGCUGCCCAUUUUGCCAAAUUUGUGUUACAAUAAUGCUAUUCGUACUUAUAGAGAUAAUAAAAAAUAAAAUCAGUUCCUUUCUCACCAACGGCGAAUAUUUAUUACUCACUUUAUGUGUGGUAAAAUAAUUAUAGUUAUAAAAUAAUUAUUUUGGUUAUGAAGUUUCAAAUUUAAGGAUAUUUAAUUAGCUUGUUUGACAAAGUUAAUAGGAUAUAAAAAGUGUUUAAUUUAAGUAGGCGCUUGAUUAUAGAAUUUGAAGUUUUCAAAAUUUGAUUUAGAAUCAGUGUUUAUUAAUGAAAUCUACAUAUAAUUCAACUUCAUUUUCAAAUUAUGAUUUCAUAAUCCAAAUUCUUAAAACAAUCCUCAUAUUGUUUUUUUUUAAAGAAAUGUGAGAAUGAAAAACACGAUAAUUAUUUAAAAACGGAGGGAGCUUUUUUUUUUCUUUUCAAAUAAAGUAAGACACCAAAAUUAAAAUAAAAAGAAUAUAUAUUAAUAACUUGAACCCAUAAGUUUAAAUUUUUUCAAUUAUUGCAAAGUCAUAACUGUAUAUUUAUUACAUUACUGAAUGAACAUAACUUUUAAUUUCCCCAUACAUAUAUGUUUUAUAAUGAGCACCAUAAAAUAAGGGCGUCAACGGGGCCACCCGAUGGGUGACUGUGAUGGAGUCAGAAAUUUUAUUAAGAAUAUCUAAGAAUAAUGGUGUGUGACUGUUAAAAUAUACCACUAUGCCAAAGACAUAACUUUGUCGAGGAUGUCCAACUUUAAAUAUAUAUCCUUUAAAUGAGAAUUUGACAUUUAUAUAUACAACGUAAUUUUGUGAGUUAGACAUCCUAGGUUGGCUAUAGCUACGCCCCUGAUGGGUGGGGUGGGUUGGGGGGAGUUGACCUGGCUCCAUAAAAGAGAGCCUCUAUCUGUUCCGAGUUGGUUCGGGCCUAACCUUAUGUCCGGCUCAAUCUCCUUGUCCCCCUCACUCCCAUACCUGGUUAGUGUCGAGCUAGUUUUUUAUCGAGUUGAUUGAGUUAGGUCUGGACGAUUGAACUAGACCAAUCUGACCCGAUUUAUAGUAAAACUUCAUCUCAAUGCUAAUACAAGAUAUGUGUGAUACAAUAUAAUAUAUAUGGAGUAAUAAAUAUUGUUUUAUUAAUAAAAUUAUGGUCUGUUCUGAUUUUUUUUCAGGAUGGGUGAGAAAAAGGAUAUAUAUAAAUUAGGAAACAUUGAUCACAUGAAAAUGACUACGUUGGCACUGACAAGACGUACGAUAUUAAUAUGGACCAUUUCAUAAUUAAUACAAGUAAAAUUAAAAAUUUACGAUAAAUAUUAAUUAAUCUUUUGCACUUUGAUUCGUAAUUUAAGUGUUUAUCUCUAUAAUAAUUGAUUUUUUUUUGUCUUUACUUUCUAGUUUAAUUUGUACUUUUUAUUUUGUUAAAAUUAAGAAUAUAUUCAUGUUCAAAAUAAUUUAUCUUUGAGUUCUUAAAUUAAUCAUUAUUUUUAAAUUCAAAUACUGUUAAGAUGUCUUGGCAAAUCACAACUAAAUCUUAAUUAUUAUUUUUUUACACAAAACAAUUCAAAAUUUAAAUGACUAAAUUCUUGAACAAUGUAUACAAUUUUUUUUUUGGAGAAAGCUAUAUAUAUAAAUAAUUUUUUUUGGUGCUGACGUGGUGUUAUGUUGGAAUAUGGUAAAUUGUAACUAAGUAUAUUAAAACUGAAUUAAGCGAAAAACCCAACAAAAUCAAAGCAAUGGAAAACCGAUUAAAUUAAUUUGAUUUUAUUCUAACAUUUGAAAAAUCAAUUUAUUAAUUUGAUUUCCUUUUAACAAAAAAUCGAUCCAAACCACAGCCUCACGUGCAUGACUUCAUUUCAAAUAUCUCUAUAUUUUAAAAAUUAAUACGGUUUAAUUAAUUACACUUAACAUUCUUGUAAUAUGACUUCAUUUCAAAUAUCUCUAUAUUUUAAAAUCAAACACUUAUAAUCUAUGUAUUACAAAAACCCUACCUUUUCACCCCUAUAAAUUAUAUUCCUAAAAAAUCAUAUCAAAAUAUAAUUAUUAUAAAAUAAAUUAAAAUUAUAAUUCUUAUUUAUAUGAACCCAAAAAACAAGAAAACAGUUGAGAGGUUGGUGAAGAUAAUUAGAGGCAGUCACCGACUUACACAUUCAAUUUGAAUCUCUUCUACAUCCCAAUUCACUACCAUCAACUACUUUUUUUAAAAAAAAAAAAAAAUUAAAAAAAAAAUUAAAAAAAAAAAAACACUUUUUUUGGUUUUCUCUCCGAUAUUCGGAGUCCACAUUAAAGCCCUGACUAAAUUUAGAUCUCGCAUAGUGACGGAGCCAGGAUUUUCAAUAAGAGGGAUUAAAAUCUGAAGAAAUUGACACACGAAGUAGCCGAAGGGGAUUCGACAUUUACUCUAUAUACCUAAAAAAUUAUUUUAACCAUGUAUAAAUAAUAUAAUUUUGCUAUAAGGUGGCUCCGCCACUGAUCGCGCACUGCAGCGCCUUUUUGUUGGGUGACGCUUUCAACAUGAUUGUCUCCAUACCUGCAGCUCAAACCCGAAAUGAUCUCUAGCUAAGGAUAAAACAGUCCAACCACUACUACACAUAAAGUGUGUGAGAGAGAUCAUGAGACACACAAUAAUUUCUCCUAUAUUCACACCACCAACACACAAUAAUUUCUCCUAUAUUCACACCACCAACUUUUUAUCUAUAUAUGUUCCCAUUCCAAAAAAAUCAUUACAUCUCUAAAUAUAUAUUUUGAACAAAAUUUCUUUUUGCUUGUCUCUCUUCUACUCUUUUUUCCUUGUUUAACUAUUAGUUUUGUGUGUGUGUGUUACUUUUUAUUUUUAUUUUUGAAGUAUGUUUAGGUUGAUAACAGGAAGGCCAGGUCCAAGUGGAUUUGGAUCAGCUUCUACUGCUGAGCAAGUUACUCAUGACAUUGAUGGUUCCAAUCUCACAGCCAUAGUCACAGGUUUUUUUUCCCCUAUACUAUAAUUUUUAAGUUAUAUAUAUCGAUACAAUAAAAAGGAUAUAGUUUGAUGCAUGAAGUAUUUCAUAAGGAUAUAGUUCGAUGCAUGAAGUAUUUCAUAAGGAUACAGUUCGAUGCAUGAAGUAUUUCAUAUUAGGUUUAUUAGUAAAGGGAAGGGUUGGAUUUGUAAGGGUGUGAUGUAUGUGUUAAAUUAGGUUUUCAGCUUAACUUAAAAGGGAGGAGGAUUGUUCGAGGUUUAUAAGGAGUUCAGAAGUCUCAAUUCUUAGUAUUGAUGAUAUGUGAUUCUUUUUGUAAAUCACUCCGUCACGCUUAGACACUUUUUUUGGAUUGGAGCAUACACAUUCAUGGAUCGGGAUAUUUUCAUCCCUUCGCAUUUGAUUGAUUUGAUUUUGAUUCUGAUUUAAUUUAAAUUAACUGUAUGCAUAUGUUGGUCAAGCUUUUGGAAGGUUAAACGUGUUUAUUUUUGUCAAACAGUACUUAUUUUAAAAAAUUUGAGGUGCAUGAUCAAGCUUUUAAAAGAAAAUAUUGUUUUUGACGAGUAGCAAAAAUUGUUUUUUAGAAGUUAAAAAAAAGUAGUUUCAUCCACAAACACUUUUAAAAAGCUUGGCUAGACACUAAUGAGUAAUGAUUGCUCAAAAAUAUUUUAAAAAUUUAUUUGUCAAACACAAACUGCUUUAAAAAAAUAGUGUGCUUUUCAAAAUAAGCUCAUUUUAGAAGCUUGGCCAAAUAGGCUAAAACAAAGAGAAAAAUAUAUUAAGUGAUAAUUGAUCCUCGAGAUAAAUAACUCAAGUUUUCAACUAUGUGCAGUAUUUAACCUUUUUGUAGAAUGGGUGCUAACAGAUAUCAUUAUACCAAUUUUUAAAAAAAUACACAGACAAAUUUCUAAUUUUACGAAAGGAUCAUGAAAUUCACAUGUUCAUAUUCUAAUUUUAAAUUUAAUUUUUCGUAUUUUGAAUUCCUUUAGAGAAAAUCUUCGCCCCGCACGGCAGGUUACUGUAUUUACUAGAUUAUAUCAAAUAAUGCAUUACUCAUAAUGAUAUUGACGUGCAUGUGAAUUCAUUAGUAGUUAAGGCCGUGUUUGGAUGAAAGUUUUAUAAAAGCUAGACUCUUUAGUUCACCUAAAGCCAACUUAAUGGAAUAUUUUAUAUUAGGAUUUCUUAUUUUUACUAUUUUCUUUUUUUUAAUAUUUAUUUUUCCUUGUAAUUAAAUAAAAUUGGAGACUUUAAUUUGAGGGGCCAAACAAACUUCCCCAUGUGUUGGAGCUCAGCAGCCUUAAAAUUUGUCUAGACAAACAUUCUCAAAAUACUUUGUGAUGUUUUUAAUUUAUUAAUUUUUGACUUUUUGUCCUCUAAUUUAUUCCGUCUGUCCGAUAUUACUGACUUGACAUACAUUUUAAGAAACAAUAAAUAAUAAGGGUAAUAUAACCUUUAAAUAUAUUAAAUUCAAUGUUUUAGGAAAUGUAUUAGAUAUUGAAUAGUAUCUAAUAGCAAGCGUAAAAUAGAUACAAAAGCGUAAAUUAUCUUUUGAUUUUUCAAAUUGGAUAAGUAUUGUUGGACAACUAUUUUUAGUAUAAUGGAUAAGUAAAAAUGAACGGAGGGAGUAAAUGGUCUGCCUUGUUUGUUGUAUUGGCUAUCUAAUACUUCCUUAGUCCCUAAUUACUUGUCCAUUUUUCCUUUUAUAGUUGUCCCUAAUUACUUGUCCAUUUUGACAAAUCAAGAAAGGACAAAAUAAUUUUACCUAUUAUACCCUCAAUUAAUUACUUGGAAAAGGUAUAAUUUCUUGAAAAUCUUAAAUUUUUAAUCCAUCCACUUCAUAAUUAAUAAGGGUAAAAUGGUAAACUCGCUAUGUCAAUAAUUACUUUCUUAAUAGGUGUGUCAAUUCAAAAGUAGACAAGUAAUUAGGAACAGAGGGAGUAGGAUCUUAGCUGACAUUUUAGGAAAAAUUUUAAGAUGGUAAAGGCACCAUCAACAAUAAUUGUGUGAGGUUUCAUUGAAUUUUUGACACUUGAAUAAGUGGGUCCAUUUGUACACUUACUUUUCACUCACCACCCCCACCACUUCCCUCCCAUCUGCCCACCCCUCCUCUAUUUAUUUAUUUAUUUUUAAUUCUUUAAAAAAUGGAAAUGUGAAAAAAAUAAAAUUGGUAACCAAAGAAAAGUUAAAAUAUAAAUUUGAUUACCAAACUUUCACAGGAGUCUCUUUCACCAUAUAAAUUGAUUACCAAACUAUCCCUAUAUUUUUUAUAUGACCGAAGAAAAGUUAAAAUAUAAAUUUGAUUACCAAACUUUCACAGGAGUCUCUUUCACCAUAUAAAUUGAUUACCAAACUAUCCCUAUAUUUUUUAUAUGACCGAAGAAAAGUUAAAAUAUAAAGGUAACAAAUCAAAUAUUAGAGCACACAAUUGUAUACCAAGAAAAUAAACGAGGUUGACGCCGUAAAGUGGAAGUUAAUUUAUUUAAUUUGACUAUUUUUUUCACUAAAUUUCUAAAAAUAUGUAAAGAUAACUGAAUAUUAACGAAAACAUUAGAGUUAAAAAUGAUCGAUUUAGCUGAAUUCAAAUAACUUUUAGGUAUACAUACUUAAAAACACUUUUUUAGUGCUUAACCUGAAUUUUAAAAUUAAAAUAAAAGUAUGGCAGCUGAAAAUAAGUUAUUGAUGCAUUUGAUAAUAAAAAAAUAUCGAGUAACAACUUAUCUAUCAAAAUAACUAAAAUUUCUUUAAAAUUGUUAAUAUUAAAAAUAAAUUUAUUAUCCAACAUUGUUAUAUCAAAGUGCCUCAAAUCACAGAUGAUAGUAUUAAACUAAGUGAAAACUCAAAUUAGUUUUUAUUUACUUAAAUAGUAUGCAAUAAUUAAUAAUCAGAAAAAUAUUUUAACUUUUCUUCAGUUACAAAAAAAAAGGUUUUUAUUAUUUUUCACAUUUUCAUUUUUCGAAGAAUUAAAAAAAAUGAAAAAGAAGAAAAUAAAAAUAGAGGAGUGGUGGGCAGAUGAGAGGGAACCGGUGGGGGUGGUGAGUGAAAAGUAAAAGUGUCAUAUGGGUCCAUUUAUUCAAGUGUCAAAAUUUGAAUGGAACCUCACACAACUAUUGUUGGUUGUGCCUCUACCAUCUUAAAUUUUUUUGACAUUUUAGAUUUUCUUUUGGUAAUAAAAAAAUUGGGAAAAUAUUUAUGUGUUUGACUAGUUCUUGAAUAGAAGAUAUUAUUAAUGAAUAGAUCUGCACAAUAGUGAAGUCAAAAAUUCCGUUAAGGAUAUUCAAGAUUUAAUAUAUACAUAUGAAAAGCAAUUUUUAAUUUAUAUAAUUCGUAUAAUUUUCUAUAUACAUAAAAAAGUAUUUUCACGGCUACGGGAUCCGUAUAUUCUUUACAUUUUCAGUAAUAAAUGUUUACUACUCCAUUUAUAUUUUGUCAAUUAUUAGUCUUGUUUAUCAUCUAUGAAUUGCAAGUAAUAGUUACUGUACCAAAAGAGGUUUUUAGUAGCAAUAUAAUUUUUCUUUUGGUGGUAAUAUUUAUUGCCGCAAAUAAAUUUGCCAACUAUUGAGUAAAUAAUAAAUAUCAUUGCAUUUAGGAUCGCUAAAGCUUUUAACGACAUAAAUGUCAAGUAAGUGGAACUAACUCUGAACAAUAUUUCAGGCCGACAAUCCAAAUUUUUCUUUGUUUUAUAAAACAAAAGUAAGACAUUUUUGUUAGUUUUUCCACUCGGUGCUCGAUACUUAUCUGAUAUACUAAAUUUGAAUUUGCAACGAUAAGUCUUACCUUUUAGGUAAAACGCUCCCUAAUAAAGUCCGUCGGAAUUCACAAGUGAAAGAACAAAAACUAUUGAUUCACAAAAAAAUACUACUUCUAUUGUAUGAAGAAUAUGAAUGUAGAACCUUAGAAAAGAAAGAUUUACACUUACAGCAGAAAAUGAAUAAUUACAUCAAGAAAUACAAUCUCAUUAGUUAAACACUAUACUAUGAUGUUAUGUGCUCUUUUUAGCUUUUACUCAAGACGAACUUCACUGAGUAUGUUGUUGUACUCAAGACGAACUUCUUUAUGAUCUCAUCCACAUUAUCCACGAAAGACGUUUUUACUUCAAAUUCUUCAUUCACACUUCGAUUUUUUUUUUAGCUUUUACUGGAGAUGAACUUCACUGGAUAUGUUGUUGUACUCAGGAUGAACUUCUUUAUGCUCUCAUCCACAUUGUCCACAAAAGGUGUUUUUACUUCCAAAUUCUUCAUUCACACUUCAUUUUUUUUGUCUAAACAGGAGGCGCGAGUGGCAUAGGUUUGGAGACAGCAAGAGUUUUAGCAAUGAGGAAUGUUCAUGUUAUUAUUGCAGCACGAAAUAUGGAGGCCGCGAAUAAGGCUAAACAAUGCAUUCUCAACGACAACAAAAAUGCUCGUGUCGAUGUUGAGAAACUUGACUUGAGCUCAAUUAGAUCUGUCAAGACAUUUGCCGAUAAUUUCAAAGCACUUGAUCUUCCUCUCAACAUCUUAAUGUAAUUCCGCGUUAUUGAUUGAGUUCUUAGCUUUGAAAAACAGAACAUGUUUGCCUAAUGAGAAUUUGCAAAAAAACAGAAACAAUGCAGGUAUUAUGUUCUGUCCAUUUCAACUUUCAGAAGACGGCGUUGAGAUGCAAUUCGCGACAAAUCAUCUAGGUAUAUACUCUGUCAAACUCUGUUACUUUACGAAUAGAAGUGUACGUAGAGUUGAACAUAGUAAAAUAAGAAAGUUAAACAUCUCGAAAAGCUAAUCAUCACAACUUCUUCUCUCCUUCAGAACAAUAAGGUCGUUAUGCUCAUUAUUGAACUUGUUUAUCAGAGGUUUAAUCGAUCAUCAUCAGAAGAAGAAUUAUGCUAAUACAUUAUGAAAAACUCAAAUUUCUAUCGAAGAGAAGCAAAUGAAAGACUUUCAUAAACGUUUUCGUAGUUCUCAAACCUCUAAAAAACUCAUCUUUUUUGGAUUUUCAGGUCAUUUCUACUUGACUAAUCUUCUACUAGACAAAAUGAAGGAAACAGCAAAAUCUAGUGGAAUUGAGGGUAGAAUUGUGAACUUAUCAUCAGUAGCUCACAUUUGCCCUUACAAAGGAGGAAUAAGAUUUCAAAAGAUCAACCAAAAAAACAGGUAUACUACUGUCCUACGUUGCUCAGACUCUACAAAAAUGUUGUCGUUCCAGUAUCAAAUCCACUAAAAAGCACUACUUUUGAACGAUCUGACACAUAUCUGAUUGAUUUUUGAAGAGUCAGAGCAACACAGAUAUUAUCAUGACUUCCCAUUUAACUAAUUUACCUAUCUAUUUUGUUUUUGAACUAGUUAUCAAAACAAACUAGCAUAUGCUCAAUCCAAAUUAGCAAACAUAUUACAUGCCAAUGAACUUUCGCGUCGAUUGCAGGUAAUUAACUAAACUUUUUUUUUUUACUGUAAGCUUAGAGAAACAACGCGCUAUAUGUCAUUACUAGAUGUUCAUUAGACUGUGUGAACUGUUUCAUCUAAAAGUUUAAGUUGUUAGAGAUUAGACAGUAUAAUUAUUUUAUAUCAUCAAAUACAGGAAGAGGGAGCAAAUAUAACUGUCAAUUCAGUGCAUCCAGGACUAAUUAUGACUCCCCUCAUGAGGCAUUCUGCUCUUUUGAUGAGUAUGUAUUUUCUAUAUUAUUAAACAUUCACAAUAUUUUAUUUUUUUUGGUUUCCCACUUGGUAUCCGGAGUCCACAUUGGAGCUCCAACUAAAUCAGGAUCGCGCUCUGCAUGACCCAUUAGGAGGUGGCGCUCCCAACAUGAUAUAUUACUUCAUAUUUCAUGAUCUUUUUUUAAUCACUUGGAUUUUGCUUGACAGGAAUUUUUAGGGCUUUCACUUGUAUCCUAUGGAAGAAUGUCCCUCAGGUAAAAAUGAAUUCACUUCCUCUUUUCGUGAACUGUACAACAUUCAGUGGCCGAGCCAGGAUUUUUACUAAUUGUAUUCAAAACAUUAAAAAAGAGUAAACGCGUGAAGACAUCAAGGAUAAAUGACCUUAUAUACAAUAUAAUUUUCCGUCAUAUCUAUCAUAGUGUGAUUAACAAUGAUUCGAAAUUUUCAGGGGGCAGCUACAACAUGUUAUGUUGCACUUCAUCCAAGUCUAAAAGGGGUGACUGGAAAGUACUACUAUGACUGCAAUGAGUACAAGCCAAGCAAGCUAGCGCGAGACGAAGCUUUAGCAAAAAACCUUUGGGAUUUCAGCAACAACUUGGUUAAUGCAUCUCUAAAAAUUUGAGAAAGAAAAUAUUACUAUUUCAUUCACAUUUUAUGAAAAAGUUGUUGGGGGUUUGUUGAGUUUUAAGCUUUGUUAGUUUUGCUUCCAAUAUCAUGAGGGUUUUGUCUCUUUGAUUUUUCUCAGUUUAUGUAACAUACUUUAUUUUUUAGUUCAUAAAAAAGAAUGUCAUCUUUCUAUAGUUGGAGAUAAUUUUAACUUUAAAAUACCUCUUUUACCGUUAAUGAAAUAAUUGAUAAAUGUACGAAUAGUCGAUGAAUAUUUUAGCCCAUAGAAUUCAAAAGUCUUGCAUUUUUCUAAAAACGGUGUGUCAAAUCAAACGAUUUCACAUAAAGUAGUCAAAAGAGAGAAGAGAGAAAAAAACAUUGUUUGGUGAGGCAUUAUAUUGUAUCAUUGUUCUCUUUUUGGCAAGUGAGUGAAAAACCAACCUUCUACACGAAGGAAUCUAGGAUUUGAAGACUUAGGGUACAUCAAGUCUCAAAUAUGAGCUCCAGACUGAAAUAUGUGUUGGGCAUGCGACCCAUCAACCCACUAGUAAUAUAUAUGGAGAUAAAGCAUAGCAUGUCACCAUAAAAACUCAAUUCGAGGAGGAAGAUCCAUCACUAAUAUUUAUUUGUUUAAUGCAUCUCUAAAGACUUGAGAAAAAAAUAUACUAAAACAGAAGAAACUGCUUAAAGGCGUUUAGAUAAUCUUUAUAAGUUUAAAGCAGAAAUAUUGGGUAAACAUUUAGAAAAUCUUAAAAGAAGAAUGAUAUGCAAAAUGAGCAUGCCACUUCCUUUUUUGAGAUCUUGAGAAUAUACUACAGUUUUCCUUUAACAAACUUCUGGAGUCUCAGGACCCAACUGGCACUUAUCUCCGUUGCGUUUGCAACGCGUGCCAAGUUCAGAGCCCUAGCUUCAUCAAGAGGUUGACAUUCACGACAAAUACAUUACACAUUAGAACUUGUACUAAAAGAAAUAGCCCAUACGACUAAUCACUUGAGUUUUCCAAAAUAUAUUCAUAGCAUUGGUAAUAUUAAGUCAGAAACAAUUCAGCAGAGUACGACAACCAGAAACGACAGAUAACAUUCCUAACAAGUCUGCAGCAACAAGCAAAGAGGCACUUCAGCUGUCAAGUUCCUCCGACUUGUCUCUUCCAUGAAUCCUCAACAAUCAGUUCAUCGACUCCCCAAUCUUCAUAACUAAUAAACACAAGAAGAUAAAACUAAUUUAAGUGAGAAAUGACAAGACAUAGGAUGAGAGAAGGAAGAGAAAUGUAGUAACAGAUGCUUAAAGACAAAGGAAGUCUUGCCUUCCAUCAGGCAAGUAACGGCGAAUUGUGAAUGGUAUCUUCCUCUCUCGGAGCUCUUUCAUUGCAAUCUUUUAGCAUAAAUGAAUUUUGACAAAAAAGACAUCAGUCAAUCUAGAAACUUCACCAAAUAAACAUGUUGCACAGUCUGCAUUUUUUAAAAAGAGGCUUACCUCAAGUGGGUCAGUUUCUCCUUCCAACUCAACCAUCACAGGUGCAUUCAUGCUGCUCGAGGACAAAAUAACUCACCAGGUCAGAAAACAUAUAUAUUGCAUCUCUUACAAGUUAUCAAACUAAAAAGUAGGGCCUUGGCAAAAGCAGAAUUGAGGAAAAAGCAAAAUGACCUGAUCUGGAGUGCACGAGUGCCCAGGAUUCUUGCACGUUCAUAUUUUGUCAUAAACUUUGAUGUCUUACGAGGUCGUUCCACAGGCUCUUGCUGCUCUGGUUUUUCCUCACCUUCACCCAUCAGGGGAUCUGGUACGUCCUCAUUGUUGCCAUUAUCUUCUUCAAUCUCUGCUCCUUCCUGUCAGUUAAGCACAAUAACGAAAAAUACUUCAUCAAAUACUUAUCCAGCAUUAACAUACUUAUAAUGAGGAUUACAAAUAAGAGAAAUCAUCUUACAUCAGGUUCAGGAUCCAUUGGCUCGUCCACGUAUCUGCACAAAUGUAACAGAUAAGAUGCCUAAUAGGUACAAUAUCCAAUGACGUUUACCAAAAUCAAACAUAAUUUAUCUUCAUAAACACCAAAUCAAAAAACAACAAACAAACAAACCAAGUCACAAACGGGUUUAACCACAAAAGUAGCUACUAGGAAAGGUCAAUACCCUACCCAAUGCAUAAAGUGAUCUAGGGAAAGCUUGAAACCAAAAAAGUAGAAAGCUCCUGGUUUGUACAAGCAUGCACUUCAGAAAGCAAUAUAUACAUUGAGAAGGUUUGCUGCAAUUUUUGAAAUACUCAGAUGUUUAAAUAUAUUUGAAAACUUCGUAUUAGUAAUACAAAGUAUUUCUUGAGCAAAACAAGGACACUUGUAACAUCAGUGCUAAAUGACCUUCAAGCACAGCUGAUCAUCCUCUCCCAUUCUUGCUUUUUCUCAGGUAGCUUUUCUUUACACCUAUUUAGCUAGUGGGGCAUUGGCCAUAAAUGAAAUUCGUAGAAGGGAUAAAACAAGAAUAAAGAAGAGAAAGAAAGAAAGGGGAAGUUUCUUCAUGUGAAUUUCUUCCAAUAUGCAACUAGUUAAAUAACUUUAUGCUUAAAUGAACUACUUAGCUAAGAUUUACAAUAAUCUCUAAAUCGAUGCAACUGAUCUACUAAAAGCAGCAAUCCAGCAAAAGUUGAACCGAUGGUAAAGCCGUUAUCAAGCAACCUCAGUCUACCUAAUGCUUAAAGGGUAUUUGUCCACCAUAUACUACAAGGUCAUCUUAAGAAUACUCUUCCCUAUACAUAGAUCAUUGUCGUAAAAUAGUGUGAAUUGCAUCAUUUAAAAUCUUAAGAUGUUGGAGAAGUUUUGAGUGUUUUUUUGGAUAUGGAAUAUGCUCCUCACUUGUGGGUCUAACUUUUUUCCUUUUGCACCAUGAAGUACAACAACUCUGCCUCAAAUCUCAAUCCCAAACAAGCCAAGGUCAGCUAUAUGAUCCUCACCGAUCAUUUUUCCCUGCAUUAACUCAAUUCAUGACAUCAUCAUAGCAAUUCCAUUAACUUGUGACAAUGAGACUCAAACUGAGACUUCUGCCACCCCUGUUACCAUAUUGAAUUGUGUGAACUGCCUCGUUUUAAAAGUUUAAUCCUGUAAAACACCUCUCUAAAAGCUGAACUUUCAGAAAGGGGACACCUUUACUUGUUUAUCUUAAGUCCUCAACACUUCCCACAGAUAAAUCAAUAAUCAGAGACGAAGAAUAAGCCCGAAAGGGGUAAAAAGAAGAGAAUAGGUCAUGUUAAAUUCAAAGAACAAAAACACAAAUUGGAAAAACCCUAAGCCUCGACCACAAGCUAAACAACCAAACAACAAAAUCAGACAAACCCCAAAAACUGUUUUUCCAUAAACCCUAACCCUAAACAAGUUCAUACUCAAUAGGCAAAUCAAUUAGUGUUACACAUAAUAAACCAAAUAAACAUCAAAUUUCAACAAGAUAAAAACAAUAAAGAACGGCGGCACUAACCCUCCGUCCAUAUCAUAAUCAUCGUCCGCCAUUGUUGCGUCGGCGUCAAAGCUCUCUUUUCAAUUUGUGUAAUACGGAGAAAACGCAGCUUUGAAACCAAAUAGAACUGAAAAUGUUUUGCCCUUUCUGCGCCUUUAAUAGUAUUAUAUAUAUUAUAUUGUGGGGUUAUUUUUGUUAUUUUACACAUGUACUAGUACGACUUGUUUUAAUUGAGUAUUCGAACAUAUUAUAUAGCGUGCAUUUGUUAAACACUUUGAAAACGCAAUUGUGCACUUUUUUCAAGUAUCUAUCUAUUAGGUAGUUAAGUUAACAUCAUAAAAUUUGUCACUUCAUUGAAUUUAUAAUAACCUCAAUAAAUAAUAAAACCUUUUUAAAUCGAGGUCGAAUCUCAGGUUCCUAUUGGUUGGGUCUUGGAUGUCACUUCAUUGAAUUUAUAAUAACCUCAAUAAAUAAUAAAAUCUUUUUAAAUCUGUUGGUUGGGUCUUGGAUCUUGGGUCGGGAUCGGGAUUGGGUCCAAGGUCUCAAGUCAGGAUCAGGGUCAGGUAUCGGAUUCGGGUCUCUAGUCUUGGGUCGGAGUCGAGUCUUGCGUCCAGAGUUGAGUUUUGGGUUGUGGUUUGGGACAGAGUCAUGAUCAAUGUCCGAUCUUAAACAAUUCACGUGUCUAGUGGGUGAAAAAUACCAUCGACUAUAAUAAAGCGUAAUUUAUAGUGCAAGAGGAUAACAAGAACCCUACACAAAAUAUUACAUUAUAUAAUUUAAAGAGUGUUAAAUAGGCGGGGUAGACUUAAAUAAAGUAUGUCAAAAACUGAAUGAGCCAACAAAAAGAGACAUGAAAGCAAUAAAGAGAAUACUUCAAUAUCUCAACGGAACAAUGCACUAUGGAAUCAAAUUUCUUAUCCAAAGUCCUCUAAAGCUAUAUGAAUUUUGUGAAGCCGAUUGGGCAUGUUGUCCGGACACUAGAAGAACUACUGGUUAUUGUAUAUACGGAAAAUGGUCAAAAAUAUCUUUAAACUAUCCGAAAUAGCUCAUAUUUAUCCUUAAACUAUAUUUCGGCUCAAAACUAUCAUUCUCGUCAAAUUAUUGGGUCAAAAGUACCUUUCUUAUUAACGGAAGUUGUUAAAUGCCAUGUGGAUGUCACAUUGCAUGUCAAUAGGGUUCCACUGCCACAUAGACUAAAUCUCUAAAUCCUAAUUACUCUUCCCCCCUCAUUUCAUUAUUUUCCAAAAACAAUUUCACCCCUUCUCCCUCAUUUCGCGGCUAGGGUUUCACAGUUUUCUUCGUGGCUGGGUUUCGAAGUGGAUAUUCGUGGUUGUAGGUUAGUAAAUAUUUUUUCUUAUUUUAUUAUGUUUACGAUUUCAAAGCAUGAUAGUUAGGAUUUCACAACUUUCCCCUCAUUUCGCGGCUAGGGUUUCAUAGCUUUCUUCGAGGCUGGGGUUUCAAAGUGGAUAUUCGUGGUUGUAAACAUAAUAAAAUAACAAAAAAGAUUUACUAAUCUACAACCACGAAUUUCCACUUUGAAACCCAGCGACGAAGAAAACUGUGAAACCCCUAGCCGCGAAAUGAGGGAGAAGGGGUGAAAUCGUUUCUGGAAAAUAAUGAAAUGAAGGGAAAAAAGAGUAAUUAAGAUUUAGGGAUUUAGUCUCUGUGGCAGUGGAACCCUAUUGGCGUGCAAUGUGGCAUUCAUGUGGCAUCCACAUGGCAUUUAACAACUUCCGUUAAUAAGAAGGGCACUUUUGACCCAAUAGUUGACGGAAAGGGUAGUUUUGAGCCGAAAUAUAGUUUAAGAGUAAAUAUGAGAUAUUUUGGAUAGAUUAAGGGUAUUUUUGACCCUUUUCCUUUUAGUCUAUGUGGCAGUGGAAUCCUAUUGGCGUGCAAUGUGACAUCCACAUGGCAUUUAACAACUUUCGUUAAUAAGAAUGGCACUUUUGACCCAAUAGUUUGACGGGAAGGAUAGUUUUGAUCCGAAAUAUAGUUUAAUAAAUAUGAGCUAUUUCGGAUAGUUUAAGGAUAUUUUUGAUCCUUUUUCGUUGUAUAUAUCUAGGAGCUAAUUGUAUUUCUUGAUCAUCAAAAAUGCAACCAACAGUUUCAAGAUAAGGCUGAAGCAGAAUAUAGGUCAAUGACAAGUACAUCGACAAGACUAAUAUGAAUUACCUUCUAAUACGAGAUGUUGGAAUUGAAUUAUUACAUGAACCACCACAACUCUUUUGUGACAAAAAAAAUGCACUUUACAUAAUCAUAAAUUUAGUAUUUCAUGCCCGCACAAAGCAUAUAGGGAUCGACUGUCACUUUGUUCGUGGGAAGGUUGAAAUUGGAGCAUUGACAACUCUAUAUAUUCCCCCAUCUUAUAAAAUUAUAGACAUCUUCACCAAAUCUUUGUCAAAACUCCCAUUUCGAUAUUUUAGGAACAAUCGAGGCUUACAUUCAAUCAUUUCCGCCAACUUGAAAAAGGGUGAAAAGAAUGAUAUUCGACCUACUUAUGCACUGAUAAUGUUAAAGAUCAUAGUUGCCAGUUGAAAUCAAGUUAAUGGUCAUAUAUUAUGAUUUAUGCCUUUUACAAAUAUAUGUUUUCAUAAAUGUUUACAAUUCUAUAGCCAAACACUAGUUUUUUGUUAAGCUUAAAAAAGUCAUUAUGUGAUUCAAAUAGUAAUAGUACUUUUGGUGGCACCUGACAAGAUAUUGCUAGUGCUCCAAAUAUCUCCCUUGCUACGAUUAAUGCAUAAUAUAUAUACAAUCAUUAUCAAACUAAGUCAUUAUAUGAUGAUCCAUAUUGAUAAUAGUCGCAAGAAUAUGUAUGUUAUUCUAAUGUUUUUCAUAUAUAAACAUUAUAAACUCAAAGACUUGAUUUAAUAAUAUUGAUGAUAUUUUUUUUAAAAUAGUGUACCAAUAGCUCAACAUAUACGUGCAAUGCACAUGAGGAGAAACUAAUUAAAUAAAAACACAAUGAGAUUGUAAUGUUCAAUACUAGGACAUGAGCAUCAAUAAAAUUUAUAAGAUAUCGUUCUACGUCACCAGAACUAACUUUUUUAAAAUCAUAAUCUUCAGAAAUUAUGAUCCUUUUUCACAUCUUGAAUGAUAGGAUGUUCAGUAAUGCUCAUAGCUUCUUCCAAAGUUAAGUUAGACAUGUACUCUUGAAGGCUUUGUGUGCUGCUUGUAGAGAUUUCUUCAUUUUUCUGCACAAAAUGAAAUAAUUGCAUAAUCAACAAAUUAAUCUUUUACCUAAGAAAAUAGAUUCUUCUACGUGAAAAUUUUAAUUUAAUUCUUUUAUGUGUAAAAAAAUACAUAAACUUAUAUAUGACUUUGUGUAUGCGACCGUGUGCAUUUUUCGGAUUGGCGCAUUGUAUUGUAGGCUAAGAAAAAUUGUGAUAUAGUGAUAAGUAAGUACUUAACUUAACAAGAUAUUUAUAUAAAAUAAACUAAUUUAAUCAUAAAAAUUAAAUGCUAAAGGGAAAAUACAUAUCAUUCAAUCAUGAUUAGAUAACAUAUUAAUAAAUUUAUGUAUAUUAUGCUGCCAAAUAUACAUAAUAUACAUAAAGAUCUUGUUUUUCAAUGAUCUUAUGCUGCCAGUGUAAGGACAAACAGUACAUGAGAAAGAAUCAUGUCAACCUACACUAGCAAGAAGAGUACAUAAUCUUAAUGUAUAUCCCUAAAUAUGAUAGAUUAAACUUAUAUAAGGUACUAAUGCCUAUUGAUGGCUAAGGUCAGUGGUGGAGUCAAAAAUUUUAAUAAGGGGGUUCAAAAUCUGAGAAGUAAACACACGAACUAGUGGAAGGAGGUUCGACAUAUAUUAUACAUACCUAAAAAAUAAUUUUAACCAUGUAUAAAUAAUAAUAUUUUUCACCGAGGGGUUCGGCUGCCUCCACCCCUGGAUAAGGUGCUUGAGCAAGGCUUGGGGCGGACUGUCCAAAUCUAUUAGUUUUUUUUUUGUAAAGCUCUUUGAUUAAUUACCAAAAAAAGUACUUACCCGAAAGAGAUAUUGAUAUUAAAUCAAAUAAUUUAAUCAUAACAAUUUAAAGUGAAAACACAUAUCACUCAAUCAUGAUUAGACAACUAAUUGAUAAAUAUAAAAACAAAAGAUCUCACAAAGAGCAAGUGAUGUAUAAUAUACUUUAAUUGAUAAUUUCGAAAAUAAACAUCGAAUACAAUAGAACAAAAUAGGGGUGUGCAUUCGGUUUUUCGGUUUGGUUUUGCACUAUUCUGUUUGGAUUUUUGGUUUUAGUUUUGUAAAAGUGUAACCCAAUCCGAUCCAAAAUAAAUUUGGUUUGAUUUGGUUUGGUUUUCCUCUAUUCGAUUCGGCUUUUUUUGAUUUGGUUAUUCGGUUAUGUCAAUAAUUAAUAACAUAUAUAACCAAAGUAAUAAUAUUUAAUCCCUUAAAUAUUCUUUCUAAUAUAAAUCAUAAAUAAAACUUAAAACACAAUACUUAUAAGUAUACCUAUUAUAGAUGUAAUUCAAACAUAAAAUAUAAUGUAAUCAUCAUGAAGGCAAUAACCAAAAAGGAACAAAAGUGGUUAAACUCCAACUUAAUUCUAAACCUAAACAUUAUAUAUAUAUAUAAUUCGGUUUUUUCGGUUUUUAUUUUUUUAAAAUCCGAAACCAAACCAAAAAACCAAACAAAGUAAUUUAUUAAUCCAAAACCAAUCUGAAAAACCAAAAAACCAAUCCAAAUAAAAAUUCGAUUUGAUUUGGUUUGGUUUGAUUAUUCGGUUUAAUCCGAAUAGUGCACACUCCUAGGACAAAAGCAUAGACAAAAAAUAAUAAAUAUAAAGAAAAUCAAAUUAAAAUUUUUAAAAAAAAACAUACCUUGUUCAAGGAUGAUCUUUCACUCAAUUCUUUGUAAAAUGCAUUUGUUUUUUGUACCAAGUCAAGCUCCUUCUGAGUUUCUUCAAUUUCUAAAUUCAAUUUUUCUAUAACAGCAAGGCUCCCGUACACAGGAUUUUCAUACCUAAUCUUAGCCUCUAAAAUUAGGGUUUCAGCCAUUUUUGCCUUUUUCUCAUUAGCAGUAACAGAAUUAAGCAUAUUUAUGAGAGUGUCUAUGCUGUAAAGUCGAAUAACUUUAUCAAAUUCAUCAACUUUGUUGGAAGGAAAAAAUGGAGCUAAUGGACAAUUCUCAUCACAUAUGUUGUUUUGGUACUUACAUGGUGCACAUUUACCCCUUGCAUCUACAUCAUUCAUCUUUGUCACAAAAAUUGAGAAGUACUCCUAAAUAAUUACUGAGAGAAGUUUUUUUCUUAUAAUUGUCUCUCUUAAAAAAAAAUUGAGUUGACUAAUUGGAUUGUAUAAGAAAUAAUCUGAUUUGACAUUUAAUAAAAUAUUUAAUAGACUUGACUGUUUUUCUUUAAAAGUAAGUGAUAUGUUUUAGUUUUUUGGAAAGAAAUCCUUCAUGCUAGUAAUAUAUUCAUAUUUGGUUGACUAGAUAUCGCGCCUCGAGCCUACACCUUGGACAUGGCUGGCACUCGAGAACCGUUUAAAAUUCCCAAGCGAAUUAUUGGUUUGACUGACUACUUAGUGAAAUACUUAUUCGUAAUGGGCUUAAAAUAGAAUUUUUAACAUUUAAACUCAAAGUAAAUACUCAACUCAAACUAUUUAUAAAAUACUCAAUAACAUAAGUAUAAUAGUUUGCAAAAACAUCUCAAGGAAAAGUAAAUUAUGAAAGACUCUUCAACUCUAUCUAUCUAUGAAGACUCUAAUGUUUAAGAUAGGUGUCGCGACAAGACCCAUGACGCCUAAAAAAAACUAAACUGAAAGUAAUGUGAAGUCCUCUAGAAUACAAGAAGGCUCACCAAAAGCUAGCUGGAGUGUAGAGUGAUCUCAACAAAGCGCAUGUUGAUAAUUAUGAACACAUGUUUCUGCAUCAUAAAAAAAUGUAGGUCGAAUGACAUCAGUACAUUUGAAUGUACGAAUAUGUAGUAUAGUUGAAGUGAAAUAACUGAAUGAAAGAGUUGCAUUAGAUAAAAGCUAUACUCAAGUUGAAUGUAAAGAAUUAAAGGAAUUAAAUCAUUUAAAGGUUUACAAAAUACUUACUCAUUUCUGAACUCAACAUAAUAAGUGAUAUAUAAAAAUACACAUUAAGUCUAUUGGGAGAUUCUCUAACUAACAACCAUCACUAUGAGCUACGUGAUGAUACAAUGUGUUGUCCACAUUGCCAGAACUAUCCUACAUUGUGCCGGAAUAUAGAACCUCUCAACUAAGUGGAUCCACUAAACUCUACCCAAAGGCACUAAGGAUUCAUGAUCUUGUACCCAUGUUGGCAAGACAUGAUUUAUGGGGGAUAUGAGUUUUCUGAACUCUCCCCUAUAUCAGUACUCAAUACUACUCACAAUAAUAUAUACUCUUGCUCAAAUGUAUAAAACAUAUUCUUUCACUGGUUUGAGAUCAUUUCUCAAACUAUACUCUUAAAAUAGGUAACUGCUCCGAAAUAUCUCUUAAAAUCAUUGCUCAUCUAGAAAACAAGGUUUCUUAAAGUUCAAUGUAAAAAUACAUUAUGGAUUAGGAUAAUUACUCAAAAGAGGCUUUUUAAGAGGUAACUGCUCUGUACUCAAUCUUUCUGAAAACUCUUUUAACUUUUCAAAAAAAUAUUCUUUUUCUUCAUGUAAAAAUGAAACAUUUGGGAAAUACUUAGUUCCCUUUACUCUUUCUCAAACUCUUUUUUUCUUCCUCAAAAACUCAGUUUACAACACGAACGUUGGCUUUAAAAGAUUUACAAGAUUUAUAACUCAAAAUAGGGCUCAUGUUGAAAUAUAAGCAUGAACGAAUCAACUCAAGGAUCUCAAUAACAAUAUGGAAAUUUAAUAAUUAGGAAUAGAAUUUCAAAAACAAUCAGGAACUCAAGAACUCAAAUCAACUCAUCUCAAGAAUACUCAAAUCUAAGUAUAAAAUCCUAGAUUACUCUUUUACUGAUUUGAAAGUAGAUGUAGGGCAUGAGGACGAACUAGUACAACACUAUGAUAGCCUUACAUACCUGGAAGAACAAAUUUCUUUGGCGAAAUCGAUGAAACUCGAAGAAAGCUUGAACCCUAGAUUUUUUGCUCUUGGAACCUUGUUCUAAUGUCUUGAAGUGUUAAUGAACGUAAAAUAAUUGAUUAUCACUUUCUAAGCCCUUACUUAGGUGUAAAACAUUGUGGUUUAGGCUUAAAAUAUGGGUUAAACGAUGUAGUUUAAGUACCAAACGCGUAGGGGAAAGACAAAAAUGAUUCAGCUUUUAAAACUGUCAAGGUGCCUUAAAAUGGAGGUUUCACGGACCGUUUACAGCUUCACGAUCCGUGAAACACUUUAAGGGUUGUAUAGCUGGUCGUGGAGCUACACCUGCUCGAUAGGGCUUCACUGAAACGAGCAUAACUUUUUACUCUGAACGUGAAAUGAGGCAAACUUGGUGGUGUUGAAAAGAAGACUCAAAGUCCUUUAAUCUGAUAGGUCAUGGGUCACCCGAUUCAUUAUUUUUUUAGAGAUAUGAUUGUUUAAAAUUAACCUAAAACUUAAAAACUGAUGGGUGACUUGUACGGACCCCUAAACGGACCGUGCAAGCCACCACGGUCCGUCUAGAGUCCCGUCCAGGUGACCCCAACCCUGGCAGCCCUAGACGGUUGGCCACCUUUCCUAAAAGGGUCGUGGACCCCUAAACGGUCCGUAUAGAGAGCCUUGAAGGGUCAAUGGUUCAUUUUGGGUUCGUGGACUUGCAUGUUAGCCCCCACUUGUGAAAAUGUUAUUCAUGAACUUGAUGUCACGAUUAAUGAUCUCGGUUACUGCAAUAAAAUUGACGUUAAUAACCUAUUGGAUUUUCCAGGUGAAAAUGAUACAUAGAUUCAGAGGUCUAAAACUUAGAAGAAAUUAUGAAUACCAUAAAAAACAAUGUUGAUUAUGAAAUUGUGGAUGAUAUAAUACCUUUGAAACCAGCUAUACGUAAGAAAACAUUUAUUAUAUCUAGAACUUUUCACAAUUUUGUAGUGCGGUUCGAAAAAACAACAUCGGGACUUUUGGAUGCUAUAAGAAAAGUUAGAGAUGAAUUUCAACUAGAUUUAAAAUUUCACAAAAAAUUAAAACACAAAAGAAUCACAUUUUACUAAAUUGUUUUAGAUAUUUGUACUUUAAAGAAUUAUUAAUUUAAAAUAUUAAUGGGACUAUAUAUUUAUAUAAGGGUCUUCUGAAAAUAUAUUAUCUUAUUAUCUUAUCGAACUAAGUAAUUGUUUCCAUUGGCCCAAGUCGGGAUCGGAGGAAAAAUUAUCUUAGAGAUAUUAUUAAUUUAUCAAGUAUUAAUUUAGUGAGAUUUUACUGUAUCGAUCUAUCUAUCUAUACUAGCUUAAAAGCAUGAACUCCCUAACUUGAAUAUUAAAUUAUUAUAAUACCUCCAACUUAAAAACAACCAAUUUAGUAUAUCUUUUAUAUUAUAUUAUAUUUAUUUAAAUAUUUAUAUCAUAGAAUCUAUUAAAGUAUACACCAUUUCACAUUAAAGGGUUGAGACUUUUUCAAAAGCUUGUGACUUUUCAAAAAGUUGUGACUUUAUCUCCGAUGAGUUGUGAACUUUCAAAGAUUUGUGACUAUUCAGAAUGGUUGCGACUAUUAUAAAAGGUUGUGACUUUUCUUGAGAGUUGUCACUUUUUCGAUGAGUUGUGACUUUCUAAAGAGUUGUGACUUUUCAGAAGAGUUGUGUCUUUUCUAAUAAGGCACAAUAAGCACAUGCCUGUACUAUCUUUCUUGACUAUAAAUAGGGGAGUUCCUCACAUUUUUAAACUACGAAUUUUUAAGUUUUCUAUUCUUUUCUUCUUCUUAAAACACCCAAUUUAGUACAUAUUUUAUACUUAUUUAUAUUAUAAUAUAAAAUAUAUUAAAAGAUCACAUUUAAGGAUUGUGACUUUUCUAAAGGGUUAUGACUUUUCCAAAGAGUUCUGAUUUUUUCGAAGGAUUUUUACUUUUCCAAAGAGUUGUGACUUUUUCGAAGGAUUAUGACUUUUCCCCUGUGUGAAGAGGUGUUAGGCCUUAUGUCCCCCUCUCUUGUAAUUAUUAUAUUAUUAACAAGCAAGACAUGUUUUGAAAAAAAAAGACUUUACCAAAGACUUUUAACUUUUUUGAAGGGUUGUGACUUUUCUGAUAAGACACAAUAAGAACUUGUUCAUACUACCCUUUGUUGGCUAUAAAUAGAAGUGUUUUCUUACAUUUUUAAACCACAAAUUUUCAAAGUUUUCAAUUCUUCUUCUUAACACCCAAUUUAGCACAUAUUCUAUAUUUCAUACUAUAGAUAAGUAUUACUAAUAUCAAAAGGCUUAGCCCAAAUCCUACAAAAUAUUUAAUUUUAUAUUAUAAAAUAUAUUAAAAGAAAACACAUUUUCAAAUUGAAGGAUUGUGAUUUUUUCGAUGGGUUGUGAUGGGUAGAAGUACCUUAUCAAAUUGUGGUGAAAUUUAUUCUCUCUUUGUUGUCUCUUCCUUAAUUCUGAUUCCGUCAAGAAUGCUUAAAAAGUUUUCAUAACCAAAACCACAAAAUUAAUUCAAUAAAAAUUCAUAAAAGAUAAAUUUUGUAUAGAUCAUUGAAUGAAAGGGAGAAGGCACAAGUACUCCCCUAGACUAUGAACGAAAUCUCAGAGACAUACAUUAACUAAAUUAAGGUCCUAUUACCCCCUGAACUCAUUUUAUAUAUAAUAUUGUACACCUUUUGGCUUAUGUGGCACACCCCGUGACUCCACGCAGUUGAGGCGCGUGGGAGAUAUUUGGAUGCCACGUAAGCCAAAAAAGGUGUACAAAAUUACAAAAAAAUGAGUUCGAGGAGGUAAUAGGACCUUAGUUUAGUUAAGGUGUGUCUCUAAGAUUUGGGUCAUAGUCUAAGGAGGUACUUCUACCUUUUCCCUUGAAUAAAAUACUAACGUAAGUUGCAGACAAAGUGAUGACAUAAGGAAAAAGCCCACAAAAAGAAGUAGGUACGAACCAAAAUAUUAUCAUGGUUGUGAUCAGUUGUUUAAGAAUUGAGCAAUUGAAAUAAUUUUUCUUUUGACAUGUUGAAUGGAGGAAAAAACUACAAGGAAAUGAUAGUUUUGUUUCAUUAUUAUUUUUUAAUGAAGAUCCAAGGUAGACUUCCAAGAAAUUGACGAAGUACCGCAGAAAUUAGAGAUGAAACUUGUCACGAAGAAGAAAAUACAAUAACGGAUAUGAUUUGUCUAGAUUUUAUAGAUAGUUCCUAAAGAGAUGCAACCGAAGUGAUACAACAAUCAGAAGGAACACGCGAGUUGAAGAAACGAAUUUAAAGGUAAAUAUAAAAUAAGGGUAAAGAACCUAAAUAUAAAAAAAAUAUAUAAAAGUAAAUUUCUGAAUUUUAAGAAUGCCACGUAGGCAAGUAAGAUAUUCUACUUUGUGCGUGAAGGAUAAAUAUCAUAUUGAAUGUCUCAUCAUAGAAAAAAAGGUCGAAAAAAAGUGAGUAAAAAAAUGAAUGGAUCGGACCUAUUCUAAAGGAAGAACAAAUCUGUUUGUUUUUAUUUUAUUUACAAUAAGCUACAAUAUUUAAUUUCAAGAUAAAUUACACUAUUUCAAAUUUAAGAAGAAAGUUCAAUUGAAUAAAAUUGUACUACCUAGGUUAAUUUUAUUUUUAUUUUUACUUUUUGUAUACUUAUAAUAAUUUAUCAAAUUUUCUAUAUAUAAAUGAAGAAAUAUACCUUUUAACAUAGUGUUUUUAAUUCCCUAAUUAGAAUUUCUGGCUUCGUUUCAAAACAUAAAUCGUUACACCUGAUAUCAAAAAAUUGCUAAUGUUCUACAAGAUCUUCAUCAAAAUUUUACUCAUCGAUAUCGAACCUAUAAUACCCAAAAAUUCCAAUGAACAAACAUCAUCAUCCAAAGAAAACAGGAAAUUAGAAACUAGAGAUCGACUACAUAAUAAAGUUAAUUUCUCAUAUAAUCGCUAAACUAAUACUUAUUAUCUCAUGAGAACGUCCACUUUCUUUAGUGAAAAAAUUGAAAUAAAAAAGAAAGAUAACUUUCUGAGAUAAUAAUUGGUAAUAUUACACAAAAACUAAAAAGUCAAAAUUGAUUAUGUUGAUCAUCAACUUCCCAUAAAGCAAAAGCUUUAACAACAUAAGCAGAUACAGCCACAAUAGUAGCAGCAAAAAUAGGAGGAACAAUUAAAUCCAUUUGAGAUCUUUUAAAAACUUGAGAAGGGAAACAAAAAACCUCUAAUGGAAGAUCCAAUGGUAUUCUUACAUAUCCAUUUUCGUUACGAUUAUGAUGAUGAUGACAAGCUUGAGAGAAGGAAGAAGAAGGUGUUAUCGCAGAAACAAAGGCAAAUUCUGGAGAAAAUGAUGCCACAGCUACGAUUAUCGUCAAAAUAGUUGUCCAUGUUGCUGCAUAGUAUAGUAAUGGUAGCCUUAAUGACACUCUUUCAAGAAUUGAGUUCAAGAAAGUGAAGUUCAUGUUUUUUUUUCCUUCAAGAAAAAUGAAGUUUUUUUUUUUUUUGGUAAGAGAUGAAUGAAUAUAAUGAGGUUUUAGUAUAUGUUUAUUAAUUGGUCAAAUCAAAUAUUGGUAUAAUAAUAAUAAUAAUAAUAAUAAUAAUAAUUUAAUAAGAAAAAGGAUAUUUUGUUGGUUGGUGGUGUUAUGGGAAAGAUGGACCUAACCCUUAACUACUUUGGAAAUGAUAUAAUGCACAACAUGGUUUCAACUUUCAAGUCGUUUAGUUGUUGUUAGAUAACUUCCUUUUUUGUGUGUUGGGUGGGGGGGGGGGGGGGGGGGGGGGGGGGGGGGGGGGGAGGGGGGGAUGAGAUUCGAUACUUCACGACAAGGGAAGGAGAGAGGGUUCCGAACCAACUGAGCAACUCUCGAUCAAAUAUCAAAUUGUUAGAGUUUAACUUAUUAUACCUAUAUAGUGAUUGUGUAAAAGAAUUUUUAUAUUAUUAAGAAGUUAUUUAUAAAAAGUGGUACUAACGAUCAAUUCUUAUUGAUUCUACUUUAAUGAAUUCAUUUUCUCGAAGGAUAAAAAAAAUUGAGUAUGAAUCUUCUAGGGUAAUGAUUUGGAAGAUCCAAUAUCAAAAGUUGUAGGGUUGAAAAAUGAGAGACAUGAGGUAUCAGAUUCAAAUUCAAAUGGAGAUAAAAACACUAGAUUGUUUUAAAAAAAUCUGUCCCAAAUAUUCGUAAACAAAGUUAUCUAAUAUCUAUAUGGUAGGAAUUAGUCAAAUAGUGCAAGAUUGAUAUAAGGGGGAAAAAAAAAUUUAGUAUUUAAAUUAAAUAUAUGGUUAAUGGUAAUAAUGGAUGGAUAUUUAAUUGGUUGACUAACUCUAUAUGUAUAGACUAUAUAUAACAAGAUGAAGUUAAUCUUUUGAUAGUUUGGUGAGAUAAUAAAGGAGAUGGUAGCAACUAUAAAGAACUGUUAUUUUUGGUGGACAACGUGGACAUGGCAUUAUAUUAUUUUAUUUUAUUUGGUAUGGGUUUGGUGAGAAAAAUAUGAUAAUUAUUUCAUAAUUUUAAUAUAAAUAUGAUUUUAAAAAAUUAAGUGCUCAACAUGACACUUAUAUUGCACUUUGACCAUCAAUAUAGGUGUUUUUUUUUUCCUUCAUUACAUAGCACAGAAACAAUGAGAAUAUAAUGAAAUUAAAGAUAAAGAAAAUAAUGAUAAUGAAAUAAUGACAGUGACAAUAAUAAUUACUAUGAUGAUAAUGAUAAUCAUCAUUAUGAUACAAUGCCACUUCCAUUAACUCAAUGUGAUUACAGGUUGGAUGGAAAUUGAUGUUUACUUUUUUGGGCAUAAUUAGCUUGAUAUACACAAAUAGAUACGUAAAUUUGUAUAAAAUUAAACAAGUAAUACAUUCUACAUGACAUAAUAUACAUAGGAUGCAAAUUGUCACAUAAAGUGUCACGUUAAAAUAUGUGAGUCUACUUGAUUAACUUUAUACAACUUUAAAUGUCUAUAAGGCACAUUUAGGUAUUAUGAAGAUGACCCUUAACUUGGCUUCAGCAGACAACUAUGCCAUCCAACUUUGAGUGUGUACAAGUACAAAAUUGAACAAGUAGACAGGUGUCCUACGUGGCAUAAUACACGUAGUACGCCAUGUAGGACACAAAAUUGCCAUGUAAGUGUCAUGUGUCUAUUUGUUCAAUUUUAUACAAGUUUAAGUGCCUACUUGUGCACACUCAAAGUUAAAGAUCAUAGUUGUUAGCUGACGUCAAGUUAAAGGUCAUGUUUAUAUAUUAUGCCUUUUUUUCUCCCUUUAUAUAAUUGAGAAAUUUGCAACUCAUAAUUCAAAACUCAAUAGAUAAAAGAUACCACUCCUAUAUAUUUCUUCAUUUAGAUAUCAAGUUUUUAUCUAAACUCCGUGCCGAGUCAAAACCCAGAUAAACAAAUUGCACCAGAAGGAGUAUAAUUCAACUGAAACAAGGAAAGAAUAUAAAAGAGAAAAGAUAGUGUGAAACGGAUUUCUUAAGAACUCAAUUGAACAGAAAACACUGCACAGGGCAGGUCCAAAUCUAAAUACAAGAUGUAUUAUAAACACAGCAGAACUAGACGAUAGCAUAGCCGAUACAAGACAAUGUCUCGUUGGCAUCGCCUUAGGCAGCUCGAUACGAGAAUGCUCUUUCUACUUUAAGAGUUAAGAAAAGAAAACCAAGAGCGGAGAAGCAAAGGGCAACGAACAUAAUCACUAGCAUUGUCUGCAACGAGAUGUAGGGGGCGAGGAAAAAGACUAUGGCAAUUGCAAAGCUCUGCCAAAGCUUAAGUUGGGCAAAUGCUCCUUCCUGUUAAGCACCAAAUGAUUAGAUGUUCAGUGUAAAGAAAACGAUCAUCCAACGAAAGACUGGCAUAAUAUUUGAAGUAACAGAACGGAAUAAGACGCCUCUAGAUAGAAUUCAGCACAUUAUUAACAUGAAUCUUGAACAACAGUGAUGUUUAUACCAUUUUGUUUGGGUAAACCUUAAAUGAGAAUUUAUGGUGAACACAUUAUGUUUCUCUAUUUGAGGAGAUUUCCAUUAAACUACAUUCAAGCAUAUAUCAUUGCUAAACGCCAAAUGUAAGAUCAUGUUUUUUUUACCUCCAUUUAACAUAUUGAACCGUAUGAUCAUCUCAUCUAAAAACUUAAGUUGUUAGAGAGAGCACACUUAGAUUUACUUAAUUAUUUAUUCAACUCAUAGUGUGCUCUCUCUAAAUGUGUAUUUACUUAAUUAUGUCUUCACCCGGUUCUUUUUUCAUGGCCAAGUACAUGGAAAUGCUUUUUAUAACUAGUGGCAGCGAGACUCGAACCCAAUACCUUUCUCUACUUUGAUAUCGUGUUGAAUUGUAUAAAUAUGUCCUAUAAAAGCUUAAGCUAGUAGUGAGAGCACAGCAUUAUUUACUUAAUUAUAUCUACAGAAAAAACUCGAUGCACUUAAAGCUCCCGCUAUGCAUGGGGUCUAGGGAAGGGCCGAACCACAAGGGUUUAUUGUAUGCAGUCUUACCCUACUAUUUCCACGGCUUGAACAGGUGACCUCCUAGCCACAUGGCAACAACUUGACCAGUACUUUAUCAUAUCUACAAUAAAGUAAACAAUAUGCUUCAGCAGUAGAGCCUUCAGACACGUCUGCAUUUAACAAGGGGUCGAGGUCGGGGUCACGAUCUUUCUAACCUACUUCACUUGACCUAGUCAGAACAUGCCUUGCCACACUGUCUAAGCCAUUUUUGUACUAGUUUCUACAUAAUUAAAAUGAAAGAAAAAUAGAAGGGAUCAUCACGUCUUUUCCUGGUCUGCCAAAAUCAAGACCUAUAUCAGUUAACAAGAUUUUGAAUCCCCAUAAAGACAAUGUCCAGGCCACCUUCCUUCCCUAUAGUUUUUAUGUCGACUAGCAUUUCAGGUGAUUGAAGCUUAAACACCACCGGCAACCUUUUGCCACUCAAUGUUAUGCAUGAAUUCUUCGGUGAUGACUAUGAGAUUUGAAUUUCUUUGAUGGAAGAACUCACCCUGGCCCCUGGGCAGUCUAGUCUAUGUAACUUAGCACAGCGACUUAUAACAGCUAUCUUUAUUUGUCGUCCGCAUUAUUCUCAUGACCACUUUUAAUUUCAUAUGGAUCCUUAUAGCUUUGAAUCAGCGGAAAACUUAAAAACGCGGUUAGAGGGAAUCAUACAAUUUUGUACUAUGAUGGUAAAGGCUUUUCAACUUUUAUCAACCACCCUAAGUAUUAUUUUGUACUAUUUUCAGAGAAGACAAAUGUAGGGAAAAGUUGGCAAAUUAGUACCAGAUCAUCCUUGAAGAGUAUCCCGAGCAAUGCACUUAGCUGGGUAUUCAAGACUCCAUCACCUAUGCCCCACAAGGCUGCAACGAGAAGUGGAUAUAGUAUGCCGAGAGCUCCAGCAGUCACACUACAAUAGAGGAAGUACAAUAAGAUUUCAAGUACCAGUGUCAACUUCUUCCAAAAAGUAACAAGGGAACAUUACACGAAGCAAACCUGUGAGCCAGUAGAAUCCAUACCAAUACAGCACCCUGAACUAAAGCUCCACCCGAGACAAUUAUUGAGAUAGAUGAGAGACCAAAGGUGAAAUGACCAGCCACUAGAGAACACUGAGACAAUGACCACCCAAUGAUACAAUAGAAUAACUAUCACAGCAUUAUAUCAGAUAAGUUCAAAUUCUGCCUGGGUACUACUAUCAAAUCUAACAAACCCACAGUUCUAUAGAGAAUGUGCAUGCAGAGUUACAAAUUUUGAAGUAAAUUUGAAAAAGCUUACUGUAAUAAGUAAUGUCUAAGAUUUGCAUAAACCUAUUUGAAAGCAUUACAAAAUAUAGCUAUGAUAGAAUAUCUAAAAACUGUAUAGUUUUAUGACAAACUAGAUAAAAUUAGUGAGCAACCAAAACCAAUGCAGCAAACAUUGCAGAGGUAGUAUGUCAAUCCAUUGGAUUAGGGUCAUUUUUUGUCUUAAGUUCUAAAUUUCUUCUUUUUUUUUGAUAGGUAAAUAAUUUUAUCAGUCGUGGGAAAAUCUCCAUACUCGGGCAGUAUACCUAAAUAUGAAUAAUUUUUAUUCCAGACACAGUAAAAUUCAGGCAGGUAUCAAGAUUAUGUAUGAGUUCAGAACUUCCUGUAAUUGUGUUAAUGGAAAAGUAUAUAUCUGGAGCUGCCACAAUCUAGAGUACCUACACUUUCUCUCGAUUAGCAAAGGUCGAUUUAAUAGAAAACAUGUAUUGUGCCUUUAUAUUAGUCAUGUUAUUAUUUUCUGUAUAUACAGUUUAAACUAAUGUGAUUUCUUCAUAAGUUUAAGAGAGAACAUGUUUACAGUUAUGUAGGAUGUUUUCACAAGGGAAGGAACAGAAAUGGCUAUGUUGUGCGAUCAUAGUCAUAUUAAAGUUACUUACUAAUCGUCCAAAUAAGUUGUCAUUGAACUGUUAUAAUAAUAUUUGAAGAUUUUUCAAUGUUUACGAACAUGAGCAAACGCUCUUUGACUCUUCUUUUUAUAUUCACUGGGCUCACGUGAAUAAUUGAUUUACACAGUUCCUUCAGUCACGCUGAGAAAACUAAUACUAUAUAGGGAAUAAUUGUAACAAGAUAUUAGUUGCACUUAAGUAAAAGCUCUCUGUCAUCCACAUCAGUUUUUACUCUCAAUACAAAGUAACUCAAGAACAGUAUUCUAGUUAAAAUUCUAUCAAACAUAAUAGAUAAUAAAUUGCACUUUGAUUACAACAUAAUUUGCCACCAAUUAGCACUAUACAGUAGUUAUAUAUUUCCCAGACACAAGAUCUUUGUAUCUUAAUGACUUAAAUGCACCUAAAAUACAGCUAGAGUAGAUUGUUUGCAAUGACUAUUUAAUGGAUGAUCUGUUACUUGGGUUAGUUUUCAAUCCAACGCCACUACGCUUCUAUCCCUCAAGAUUAUCAAUUACUCUCUCAGACCGUAGUACAUUCAUUACUAUAACUACCUUAGUAUAAAUAAAAAUGCAACAAAAAAUUAUAAUUAAAGGCGUACAAAAGACUAGAAACACAACAAAAGAGAAUGUGAAAAGGACAAAUUUACUGCUCUAGUUUCCUCAUAGAAGACUGAAGAACAUACCACAACGGUGGCAAACAUGUCAAUAGCAUGCCAUCCAGUACCAUAAAGAGUAAAAGCAGUUUGCUCAAAGAAACACAGUCAAACUCCAAAACGAGUCAACCUAUGACUCGUUAUGGGCUGCCUUUAGGGGCAAAAAGAAAGGGCAGAAGCAUUUGGCAGGGGGUUGUUGAUAGGUGCAAGAAUAAGCUCACUCCAUGGAAAAAGCAAUACCUAUCUUUUGGGAGCUGGUCGAUUCUUACUAACAGUACCUUGGAUGGGAUUCCUACAUACAAUAUCUCUUAAUUCAGUAUGACUACAACAGUUGAAAGGAAAUUAGACUCUAUAAGGAGAAACUUCCAAUGGGUUGGGAACUCAAACUGAAAAAGGACUCAUCUGAUCAAGAGGCAAACAGUUACUAAAGAAAAAAAGGAUGGUGGACUGCGGGUAAGGAAUCUGAAAAUGCAUAAUAAAAUACUUUUUUAAUGGCUCUAGAGAUAUAGUAAGGAAAGUGAUGAGAUUUGGCAGCAAGUUUUGGAUGCUAUAUAUGGUGCAAAGUUACAAAAUCCUUCACAAUUGAAAAGCUGUGGGGAAAUCUGGAAGAUGAUUAGUGAUUGAUGGGAUGAAUUUCUACCGGUCACUAGAUUAGAGGUGGGAAAUGGUAGGAGGAUUAGAUUUUGGAUGGACACUUGGUGUGGAAAUGAGAGCUUCAAAAGCAGGUUUCCGGUCUUGUUCAACAGUGCUUUGAAUAAAGAGGGUUAUCUUGUAGAAUUUAAUUCAGCAACUGAAUGGAGUGUUACUUUUAGAAGAAAUCUAAAUGAUUGGGAAAUAGACAGUUUUUGCCAACUACUACCUACAACAAUUGAAUUCAUGUUCAAUAGAACAAGACAGAGCAGACAGGUUAGUUUGGGUUAACAGUAAGGAUAAGGUAUUCUCGGUUAAUAACUGCUACAAAAUGUUGUUGCAACAGUUUAGUCCCUCACUGGCCUGGAAGAUGAUUUGGGAAACCAAAUCACCUGUGAAAGCAGCUUCUUUUGGUUGGCUAGCAGCUAGGGAUGUUUGUCAAAUACAGAUCAAAUUAAGGAGAGAUUUUUCCUUGUGUAGCAAAUGCUAUUUCUGCAAUUCAUAGGAAACCACUGAACAUCUUCCCUUGCAUUGCAGAUUUUCAAGACAAUGCAGGGAAAUUUUCUUUAGCAUAAUGGGCGUAUCUUUGGUGUUACCAGAGAAAAUUAGUAGCUUGUUGGUACUCUUUAAAUAAAAUCCUUACUUAACAAAAAAAUGAAGCGGUUGAAUUAGUCUAUUACUGAUUUUGCAUACUUACAAUCGCAUCAAAAACCCCAUAUACGGCCAUUGCACCACCAACACCACUCUCUCCCAUCGUAGGCUGAACGAUAUACUUUGUGAAUUCAGCCCUGAAACACAUUGUAAAUCAAAAUACAGCAGAAGAAGCUCCAAACUCUACUAUAAUGAACUAUUAGAAGCAUCAUUUACCAUACAAAUGCUUGUUGUAAACCUGAAUAUGCAAUAAGAGGGAUGAUCAAAAGCAUUCUUAUGUCUUGUAAAAGGGUAAUGAUAGACUUGAGCAAAGUUGCCACAGAAGAAACGGAACUAGCGGAGGAGUCUUGCUGUCUUGCCUCCUCUUUACCAGCUCUCUUACUUAAGAAGCACAUCAAAACGGCACCAAGGGUUACGGUACAAACAAAAACCAAGAAAAGUACAGUUGUUCCACUAGUGCUUCCUCCCUGUAGCAUCAGAAAACUAGCAAAUCUUAGUGAAAGACAAAAAAGAUCUUCAACAGUUGAGCAUUUAAUCUCAGUAGAUGCUUACCUCUUCGUCUCUCAUCAAAGCAAGAGUGAUAAGAUUUCCGACAAACUGCAGGAUGAUGAAAGUUAUGUGCAUGGAAAUAUCAUGUGAGUAGAAAUAUAUAUUAAGAAGCUUUACUUGCAAAGUUCAUAAAAGGUACCUGAUGACUUGCAAAUAUUCCCCAGAAUACACCAUUGAAUUUACCAAUUAUAACUGCUUCAUUUAAGAUAUGAUCAUUUGCAUGACUGCGUGCUGCGGAAGUAAGAUAUGUUCCCUAACCACAAAUGACAAGAUUAAGGUUAUUGCUGAAGCCAAAAACAAAGUUCAACUCCUAAAAGAAAGUCAUACCUGCCCAACCCAUAUUAUGGAGGCAGCAAAACCAAGGUAUAAAGAAGCUGGGACCAUGGUAUACCUACAAGAUAAUUUAAUCAGUUGCUGACAAUUGAAAUUCACGAACAUCCUAAACAAACAUGUAUCAAGAAAAAAAAACACCCAAAACCUUCCAAAGUGUUAGCAUUAAGAAAGAAAGCAUAAUCCAUAAAAGAUGGGUAGUAGAAAAGGAAAACAGGAAAAUUGUGUAAAUGGACUAAAUUUAUAUCUAUGUUUGAUGCAGGAAAGAUAAGUACGUGCCAAAUAACUGAAACACAAUUUUAACAUAAUUAAUUUUGAAUAAUUAUAUUUUAAAAUCUCACAGGAAUGAGGCAAGAAUUAAACUCAUAUUGUAAAAUCAAGAUGAGUGAACUUUUAAAAAUGUUCUGAUCAUUUAUGAGGAAUGUUAAAGGUCAUUGACUAAUUUCCUUAGCAUUAGGCCCAUUACGAGCCCAAAAUAAGAUAUACAUAGUCUAUAGCUCAUUUAUAUCUUUUCAAAUAAAGUAUAACUUAGUCAUAUCCUAGAAAAUCAAGAGAACUCGCGUCUCAUGGUAAAAAUACAGGAAUAUACAUGAAAAGAGAAGAAUUUACGGAAAGUAAAAUCUAUACUGGAAGUGCAACCAGACUAAUGUACCAUUAAGUCCCAGAUGUAAGCAUAUGAUUCACCUAGCACCUUCACUGCCCUUGGAAAUUAGUAUUUUCCAAAGUACCAAGCUCCCAAAUUAAAUUUAUGAGAAAUGAAGAAAGGCAAGAGUAAUUGUAGGAUGCUAUGUCUAUUAUCCUGAAACAUUCAUUUUCAGAACACGACUUAGUCGCUGCUUCUAUGUCUCAAAUAGAAGAAAUAGUUGUCUAACAGUGCAUCAAAUCAUGUUAAAUGUUGUCACUUUGGACCACAUGAACCAAGCAUAUCUUUUGUCUGGUACAUAAGUAAAGAAAAGAAGGCUCUAUGCCUGAUUCGAACUAAACUUGAGGGAAAAGAAGUCAUAGAAAAUUUCCCCUAGGAAAUUAAAUCUUAGAGCUAUCAAUGGAAAAACUUUAGUCAUACAACACUCUGAGUUCUAAGAUCAAGAUAGAAUUGUUCAAGAAAUCUCAAAGAUGCAAUACAGAUACUACCCAUUUAAAUAAUAUUGACUUUAGUUCCUUUUCUUUUUUGAUAAGGAACAUUGACUUUAAUUGUUAUGGAACAACAAAACAGCUCCCAACUUGGUUCUGAUGAUUUCUUCAAGUGAAAGGUAAGGAGGAACAGCAGAGUUAUCCAGAGCCAACUAAAAGUCAUCAUAGUCUUCCAGGGAUACACACAUCUAUCGAGCAUCAUACCCAACUCAAUAAACUCCUUUACAGCCCAUUUGUUGCAGCCACAACAGAAAACGAUGAAUAUUUGAAUAAGCCACUAAAUAAGUCCAGCCACAGCGAUGGAGAAGAUUCAAGCUUUAACUACACUAUAAUGCAUUAGGACUACUAUCAAGUAGAGACAUCUGUAGUCUGUUGUUUAUGGACUGCUUUGUAAAAACAAGCAUUCACAAUAACUGACUAGAGACUAGAGGGCAUCGCCAUCUCUGAUAGAGCAAGCAGACGUUGCUACUGUUAACUGUUUUAGGGGCUUCAGUUAUCAUAUUCAGUUAACCAAUGAGCAAAACAGAUUCAUCCUCAAGCAUUUCUUCAUUUUCUUCCAGAGUCUGACUCUAUGUUUCUAUGGUCUUCCAGUUUGUCUUUCUGGCAUUACCUAGGAGAGGAGAAUUCCGAUGUGACUAAGCAAUAGUCCUUCCUUGACAAGAAUGUGCAUAAAGAUUGAUGGCAAGUUUGCCCUGAUAAUGCUGUUACUAAUUCUAUUAACAUCAAAAGGACGACUAUAACAUAGGUUUGGCUGGCUUCUAUGGUCUUGCAGUUUGUCUUUCUGGCAUAACCUAAUUUUCAUAAAGUGAUUGUUAAACCAGCUAUGUUGUAUGGGGCAGAGUAUUGGACGGUCAAGAACCCGCACAUUCAGAAGAUGAAAAAGAUUAGGAAUGCAGAUAUUCUGGACAAGGUGGGAGUGGGCCCCGUGGUAGACAAGAUGAGAGAGGUGAGACUGAGAUGGUUCGGGUAUGUGAAGAGAAGAUGUCCAGAUGCCCCAAUGAGGAAGUGCGGGAGGUUGGCAAUAUGGAUCUGAGGAGAGGUAGAGGUAGGUCGAAGUAGUACUGGGGAGAGGUGAUUAGACAGGACAUGACACACCCGCUGAGAGGUAGAGGUAGCUCUGUAAUUACUUCAAUAAACUUCUUUGUGGCUAAUGCCACAACCUCACUAGGAGAAAUAUGAAAUCUGAUAGACCUCUAUAUUUAUUCCAAUGGAGUACAAGAUUCCUAUCUCCACUCACAUUAAGGAUCCAUAAGCACACAAACAUUGUUAAACGCAAAUCCAAUUACAAAAGAACUACAAUCACAACUCACUUCAUAAAAUUCGAUCACUACCAACUCAAUAGCCUAAAUCCUAAUCCUUCCCUAUUGGUCAAAGAUUUAAUCUUGGAAAAGCAAAAUGCACUAAACAUAAGAUAACUCAUACCAAUUAGGCAUCAAAUUGGCAGCAACAAACAACCAAUAGCCAGUAGUGCCAAGGAUCAAAGCAUUCUUCGACCCAAGCUUCCGAACCACCAAUGAAGCAAAUAUUGAGCAGAACAUAAAUGACAAAUACAAUAUCCCCAGUGAAAUGGUCCCUAAAUUUCCUUCCUGAAACACAAAAAAGAAAAACUCAAACUCACUAUCACAGUAUCACUUCGUCUAAGCUCGCAAUUGGCCAUAGAUUUUGAAAAUUUAAUCUUUAAACUCUGAUCACUUUUUGGGGCUUCCACUCACAAAACUUCAAACUUUUUCCAAUUAAAAUACACUUCCAAACACAACUUCAAAUUCAAAAAAUCACAACAAAAACUCAAAUUUCAAAAACUAUAGCCAAAUGGGAGCUUAUAAGAGCCAAACAAACUCUAUCCAAAAUCACAAUUCAACACUAAAUAACCCCAAAGACUUCAUUAAAAAUAGAUAAUACACAAAAACCUUACUGUAUUGAUAGUGCUUUCAAGAUUCUGAGCAGCCCCAUAAGCCAAAAAAAUCAACAAAAAAGCAGAGCUCAGAAUAUAAACAUCCCUUUCAUGAUUCACAAUUGAGUUCUCAUUUUUCGAAAUUUCAACAACAAGGGGUGCUUCCUCAUCCAUAGCCAUUGACAAACCAAAAAAAUAUCAAGAUCAACAAACUUACAACAAAAUAACCACAACCCACCAACAAAUUUAUGUACACAAAUAUAUAUAUACAAAAAAAAAAUCUUUUUUUUGUCAAAAGAAAGAGAAAUUGAGUGACACCAUUUGCCGGCAAAAGGAACUAUAAAGAAAAGUACAUAUAGAAAAAGCUUAAGCUACUGAAGAGAACUGAUGAAUAUGACAAUAACAAAACUUCAGCGGCCAUAGAUUAAUGUUUGUUGAGAAAUUUUUAGUAUAAUAUUUUUUUAAUUUUUGGACAAAUCAAGAUUCUUUUUUUUUCCAUAGAAACAGACAAAAAGAUUUGAUUUUUAUUUAAAGUAAAGCAACUUUUAGGAAUAAAAAAUUAGCACAUGAACCAUGAUUACUGAUACCCGAUUUUUUACGUGCCAAUCGAACACUCUAACUUACAAAAUAAUCACUUAUGUAUUAUAUCAGCGUAAGAUAUACACGAGAUAUAAUAGGAAUAAAUUGAAAUGUUUUGUUGUCAUUUGAAAUUAAGUUAAAGUGUUUAGAUGUACAUUUUCAAAAUUAAAAUAAUAAAUUAUCAAUUGAGACCAAAUUUGAGUGCGUAAUAUUAUGCAAAAAAAAAAUUAUGUUCAAAACUAAAAUAAGUCUUUUUUUCUUUAUUAAAUGUUGUGUUAAGCAGUGAAGAUGCAACUAUUUAGCGAUAGGUUCAUCUGAAUUGAGUAUUUUCCAUGUGAAACAUUUAUAUGUGAAAGUUUAUUAGAAAUAAAAAGUAGAUUCAAACACAUAUAAAAUACAAUAGAUUCAAUUUUAAAGAUUAAACUCAUAAAAAUUAAAUUCUGAAUUCAUCGUCGAGUUAAACUACGACGAAGAAAGUAAAAUAGUAGAAGUACUACACUACAUGUUGGAUAAAGUUUUAUUGGCACUUAAUAUUUAUAUCAAAUAAUACUUUAUUGUCUUUACAAAAUUAAGUCAUAAUUUAAGAUAAAAACAUGUACUUAUCAUUGCAUGAUAAAUGGGGUUAAUACCUCAUAUGGUCACUCACAUGGUGACUUUUUAGUGAAAAUUAAAAGUUGAGUGACUUUCUGAGGUAAAAGUGGAUAGUUGAGUGACUAUCUGAGGUAUUAACCCUGAUAAAUUUUUACUAAUAAGCCAAAGGCUAUUUGAACUGCUAAUGAAGCUAUUAAUUAAAAAGCACUUAUAAUAUUCAUGAAUAUUAUAAUGAAAUUUUCAUAUUAUCAAAUAUAGUUUUAAAAAUUAUAUCUAAUUAGCUUUUAAAUUAUUUGCUGGCCUAGAAAUUUUUUAAUGAAUAGCUCCAAAAACAGAAAUUAAAUUUAUUCCCAGUUAGAAUAGAGAAGUGUCUCUCUAAAAUUGAAAAAAUAGUACUUAUACACAACAAUUUGAUAAUUAUUUGUUACAGACUAUCAAAGAUUUAACGAAAUGGUAAGUACUCAUAGGUUUCGGAUUCGAGCCUUGUUUGCAGAGUUACUUUUAGUAGGAAGCGUUUCGUCUCCCUAAGAAUAGUACUAGUAAUACUAGUGGUAUGAAAGCAAAAGCAGAUACGGUGCUCCAAACUACCACCAAGCAUGUCCAGAAAGCGAGACAAUGCUUAACUAAGGAGAAUAAUAGCCUGCAUCAACAAAUAAAAACCAAUUUAUUUCUAUUUAAAUUAACUAGAUAUACAAAUCAGGUCGUUAGUGAAAUCCUUAAAAAUCAAUGUUGAAAACAAGAAGUAUUGAGUUAAUACUAUCAUUUUUCGCAAGUUUCACAUCUCAACUAUCAGUUGUUCCAUUUUUCUACUGGAACUAUCAUCAUCUAUGUAUUAAAAUACACCUUGAAACCAAUAAGGCCAACUAUCAGUUGUUCCUUUUCCUACCAGAACUGUCACCAUCUACUCAAUUAGAGUGUAAAACUCGUAAAAAAGUGAUAGUUCAGAUGUGUUUCGACCAUUAUGUCCAUUUAAAGCCCUUUUUAUUAGUGAGAAUGAAAAGCAAUUCAAUUAUUUAAGUAAACAACACAAUAUGAUUAUAUGAAAUCAAGGAUAUCCAUUUAUGAUAUCUUGUAUACUAGUAGACUUGUGGGGUGAAAGGGAAUCAAGGAAGGAGUAAUCAAUAAACUAUAGAGUUCAUGUAAUAGGCAUCGUCAGUUCAAACAAUUUUACACCAUCAGGUCAUCUGUAUUUAUUGUAAAUAUCCUUUAGAUGACUUGAGAGUGUAAACAGUUAUUUACAUCGACGUGUACAAAACUUAAACUAUAAACUAUAUAAAGGUACAAAUCAAUUGGCAAAAAGAAAUGAAAGCUUCAAAGUCCAAACCUUAGUCACUAUGGCCCUUAGGAGAUGAUCAGGAAUCGAAUUCUCGAGGGUAUACAUGGACCUUGAACCCCUCAUCUUCUUGAAUUGAGAUAAUCGAGUUCACAGAAGAACGGCUGCACCAGUGUAGCUCAACACUGUGUAGCGUUGAAACAUCGCCUAAGCAUGAAGGGAACUCCUUAAGUUUCUUACAACUUUGCAGAACAAGAUGCUCAAGGGAAGGUAAGCAAUCAGAUGAGAUGUUCCAUUGUUCAAUGUUCAAAGAGUCUAACUUCAAGAAUCUUAGUUUCAGGAACUCUCCGUCUUUCAUGUCCCAUUGCACACCCUCAAAGGCUCGGGCAAGUAGUUUGAGAACCUCAAGGUGUGGUAAGCUACCAAUUCUUGAAAUUUCAGUCCAUGGUAGCUGAAACUUUGGCAAUGUCAGUCUUUUGAGAUUUGAGGGGAAGUUGAACUUACAAGAAGAAAAUGACUGACCAUAGUGUAAUAUCUUGAGUGAUUCAAGUCGACUCACACACUCCAGUGAUGGAAAAUGACAGCAGUCCUCCGAGUCAACUGAUAUGCAUCUCAAUUUCCGAAGAUUAGGUAACCUUCUCAUUACCUCAUUAGGAUCCAUGGCAUGAUCUUUGUUAUAGAUGAGGGCCGGAGUGGAAAUGGUUUGCAGGUUUUCUAGUUGAAUCAAAUUCCAUCCAUCACAGCCAAAAACAGCACGUGCAUCGACAUGAAGAUGUCUCAGUCUUGAAAGUGUGUAUGGCAAACAAACUUCACCUCUCAAGGCUUUCAGAAGAAAUGUUUCAAGGUACAAGAGUUUCCAACAUUAAUGCAUCCCAAAUCCAACACGCGAAGUAAUCUAAAACCGAGACAUAUAGGAGAGAUAUCAUAUGGUUUUGUCAAGGAUUUGUCAUUAAUGUCAAAGAACAACAAAGAACGAAGCUGUGGUCCUGAUGGCCUAGACUUGACAAGAAAACUCUCCCUUUGUGAAUAGAUGCAUAACCUACGUUGAGUAUGUCUGGUAUACAGUUCUUCAGGAGAUAGAGAGUAUGUUGACUCCAAAAUAUCGUCUAGAUCAUCACAAAGAGUGUGCUUGUCCUCCUUAUAUAUAAGCUCAAAAAAGUUCUCUUCUUCAGCUUUUCUCUUGCAAUAUUCAAGCAACAGAUCAUGAACAUGACAGACUUUAACGGAGCCAUUCGAUCUCUUUUUAGCAACCAUUACCAGGCUUCUUCCUAUCAAGUCCGUUAAGUAGUCCUCUGCUACAUCCUCAAAGCUCUUGCCAUCUAUUUGUGGAACAAACUCUUCCGCCAUCCACAACUGUACCAAUUUCUUGACAGAUAUGUGAGGAUGCUUUAGAAAUUUACCUAAUUAAAGGAAGCAUGGUUUUAAAUGAUCAGGCAAAUGCUUAUAGCUCAACUCCAAAAUGACUGAGCAUUGAUUGGGAUCAUCAACAAUAUAUGUACUUAUGCUCUCCGCGACUUCAUUCCACCAAGAUUCUUUCUUUUCUGUCUUAGCCAGAAGCCCAGCUACCAUGUAACAGCAAGAGGAAGUCCUUGACAACAUUCUGCAAUUUGCAUUCCAGGUUCCUUUAGAUUUCGGGGGCAGCAAUCUGUUGCAAACACCUUCUUCUGUAAUAACUCCCAACUUUCUUCAACAUUGAAAUGCCGAAGAGGAGUAGGAUGAUUGUCAGGCUUCGUAUCAGAUUCAAUGUAUGAAGCCAAACCUUGCAGUUGAGUUGUGACCAUUAUUCUACUACCAUUGUCAUCGUCUAUAAAUGACCUCUGCAAGUCAUCCCAAGCCUUGAUAUCCCAAAGAUCAUCAACGACAAUUAGGUACCUCUUCCUCUUUAACUUUCUACACAACAGUUCAGCUAAAUCCGCGUCAUCCUUCAUCUUAGUCACUUCAUCAACUUCCUCGAGAACUUGGGACAACAUCUCCAAGAGCAACUCUUUCUUUUUAUAUACUUUAGAAACAUAACACCAUGCACAUUUGUCAAAGUGAUUGAACCUUUUCAUCAUUGAACACUUUUUUUGCAGUAGUCGUCUUGCCAAGUCCAGGCAUGCCAACAAUUGAAAUCACAUCACGCUCUGUCAUCCUUCUGGCAAGGCCAUCAAUGAUAUUCUCUACCACAUCAGUGAAACCCACCACUACAUCAUCGUGGAACGUUGGAGCAUUAGUUCGUGAUAAUUCACAGGUGGAAACCACUCGAACAUCACAAAUUGUUUCAAAUGUUAAUGUUCUAGAUAUGUCACUGAACUCUGCCUGAAUCACCUUAAGUUGUUCUACAACAUCAGACAUCUCAACCACACUACACCAGAUGUUUUGGUCCCCAACCAAAAAUGAGUCAAUAUAUAGCAUAUUCCGCCUCAUAGGCCUCUUGCAUAACACGUGCCUUCAGAUGCUCAUUGUUCUGCUUGAUAACAUCCCAGAGAUUCUUCUUCAGAUACUCUAACGCGUCAUGCACUCUUGCAACAUGAUGUUUGGGAAAAGGAAUGCGAUCAGCUUUAUGGAGGAGGAGUUCUUUCAAAUUUCCUAAAAAGGAAUUGAAAAGGCCUAUGUCUCUUGCCACUCUCUUCAUGAUUCUAGUUCUUUCUAGAUAAACAGAAGUGGCUAACUCCAUUUUGUUCAGCAUGUCUUCGUUCGAUGCCUUAUUACUGAGUGACAUAAUAAGUGAUCCAACCAUCGACAAUGUAACCCUCCCUUGUGUGAUAAAAACAUUUAAUUCACUUCCAAGAGAACGACAGUCGUCUGGUGCCUUGCAGAAACACUACUUCCUCAUAAAGAAUUUGAAUUCGAUCCUCUUUACCAACUCAGGAUGGGCUAUUAAUGCAAUGUGUAUCAGGAUCAACUUUACCAACUCAGGAUAUUGCUCAGGAAUAUCUUUCAGAAACAUCAAGUACUCAACAAGGCCAUUGAUUUUCCAGGACACAAUCAGCAAAUUCCACCACAAAUUUGUCACAAAAAUGUGAAUCAGAACAUUUUGAGCUUAAAACAGUUGCAUAAACUUGUGUAACUUCUGCUUUCGAAUCAUUAACCUUUUCCGAGGCAUUAGAAACCAGUAGAGCCAUGUGGAUAGGCACGUUUCCGUCUAUACUCUUAACAUAAAGAGAUUGAAAAUCUGAUUCUGCAUUCUGCACCAGAGUUUCUACAUGCAUCAACAAUCCUGAGAAGCCUUAAAUCCGCUUUAAGGGUCCGGAUUUGAUCCUUCGUUGAAGGAGUUGAGUCUUCAUGACUGUCUAAACAAUCCAGACAUUUCAAGAGAUUGUUAACAACACUAAAGUCCAUCCCUUCUGUCCUAUACAACAAAAAUGAAAAAAUCAGCCCAUAAACGAAAUCUCCCAAGAAACUGUGACUAGUAUUUAGUAAAAAUACAAGAAGAAGAAGAACCAAACACUUAUCAUGAUUUAAGCUCUGCUCAUCUCUGUCACCCAAACUAUAAUCCAAAAUCGAUAUCAUGUAAUGUAUUAGCAUUUUCUUGUUUUAAAUACCGGUAGUGUUCAGACCAGCUUGGGCCUUGGGGCAUGUCACGAGGUACCUAUUAUCUCUCACCAGCACAGAUACCAAGUAACUUUGCAUACUGAGACCUUGGUAGAUGAGAAGAAAUCACUUAGCGUUUUUCGCCUUGCUAUGAUUUGAACCUGAAACUCAUGAUUCUCGUCCUACUUCAUUAACCACACCAUUGAGUGUUAGGUAAAUAUUUAAUCACUAAUGUCACCAUUCCAUUUACAUAACAAUGAAGACCUCUUUUUAAAAAAAUUGAUAAAUCAUAGCAUACGGAUGAAAAGGAAAAUGCACCCGUGCAGAGGCGGAUUUGGCCUUUUGGUUAUGGGUUCAUCUGAAUCUAUGACUUCGAAAAACGAAGUACAAAUAUACACAUAGAAAUUACUAAAAUCUCAAUAAAUUUUAGAUUUUGAACCCAUACUUUUAACAGUACAACAAGUUCUGAGAAUCUUAAAAAAACUCAUUAAGUUUAAAUCAUGAAUCCACCUCUGUCAGUACCCACCAUUCAUAAAUCAUUAUUUUUUCAAAAAAUACUAAACGAGGCAAGACAACGCAACUUCUUGUCAAUUGAGCAGAUUCACAUAAGAAGUAUUAAACUUUAUAUUGCACGUGUAAUUUGUCAAUAGUGACAUGUUAUACUAAUACCUAACAAUACACUUCAACCUAAUAAAAAGAAUGGUUUGGUUCUCCAACAUUUGGUCCAAAAGUGAAAAAACACACUUGACCUGGGAAUGUAUUAUUUUCACUAUUAUCGCAAAAAUGUAAUUGCCAAAGAAAAAAUAUAUGAGGAUGAGGAAAACAUGGAACCAGCAGGGAAUAAAGUAGGCAACGUCUUAUACUUGAGGAAAAAAGGAAGUUGGAACACAACAGCAACUGUAGUUAUUUGCUACGACAAAAAGUAUAUCAAGAUCAAAUCGCCUGACGAAAAUUUCAACCCUCUCCAUACAGUCGGAAAUGUCCUAGCCAAGAAUUGCUACUCUUGAGCUCAUAAUACCCACAUAACCAAUCUCUGAUACAUAUUAAGGUAAAAUGCAACAAAUUGAAUUUCUUGAACCAAAAUGCCGAGGAUGCAAGACUUGAGUAUAAGCCACUGCACGACUCAUCAGUUACUAACCCUCAUUCACCGCC